rnacentral:lncRNA from 1 species
UUUGCAUAGCCAUCAUAACUUCUGAUCUCCUACCAUGCAGAAAAACAACAGAUCUAAAUUACACCUCUUCAGCAUUUGGUGAAUAAUCGUUACGAAUGUGUGGUACCACCGCACGUUAGAAACGGUCUGAGGUCUAUUUUGAGUGCAUAAUUUUUUCCCCGUCAAAGCUUUUUUGUCUACAUCCUUCUGUUUUUCUGGGUGCUAAGGUUAAACAAGCUGUAUCCAGUUCUCGUUUUGCCAAUAAAGAAGUGUACCCAGUACUGAUGUAUGUAUGUCCUACGAGACGGUACAUCUUACUGCUGUGCCUAGCAUAUGAUUCCAGUCUGUCUCUCUGAAAUACAUGGAAAGAAGAAGCAACACACCAUCUCCCAGGCCAAUUAUAUAUGUGGCACAUGCUUUCGUCACCAGACAUGCGUUAAGCAGGCUUCUUGUGUUAUUGUUAUGUCUGAACUGGCCGUUUUCUUUCUUUCCAUUUCUUUUUUAGAUGGAAGAUCCGUGACUUGCCUGAUAGAUCCAUUUCUUUUUUGAAAAAAGAAAAUUUCAAUCUUGUAACCCUCACUGGGAGCGCCUUGGGCAUCCAACAACGAGAAACUGGAUUGGGGCCGCCUGGGCCUCCCAAUGGGCCGAGGGCCAUAGCACUACCAGGCCCCUGGGACGAACGCGCACUUACACAAGCAAAAGGACACCCUCAAGGGAAAAGAAAGGGAAAAGGACGAUCCCACGCUUCGACUCCCAAAAAACAAAAAAUUGCCUAAAAAGCCGCUUGAUGUUUAAGAACAGGAAGACAGAUAGCAAAUGCAGUGUUCGUACACUCAUUAAUGGAGCUUAAGGCAAGGACCAGCUGUACAAAUCCAAGCGUGAUUUCUCUGUCAGUACUGUCCGGACAAUGAUAAUCACUUGGUCCUUCCCAACUGGCUCUUGUUUGUGUCCCUUGCAUAAAGCACUCAUUCAUUGAACGGCGGCUCCGUGGGUGCAUCUUCAGAUUUAGACACCGACAGACCCAUUUAUCGUCGGAGGAUGUGUGGACGUGUAUCUUCAUCGGAUUUCAUGGGAUUCGGUCGAUGCUGGUCUUCAAUGGAUCUAUCUGGAUCCAGUUCUCAUUCGUCUUCAUUCGUGUGGUUAUAGGUUUGAUUUUUCUGAUCUACGACUCUUCAUCGCCGAUGGUUGCUUCUCUGGUGCUCUGGUCCUUUGAGGCCGUAGCACGACGAUUUUCGGACCGUCUACUAUAAUAAGGUUUGUCCGAUUCCAGUGAAGGAGGGUGAUGACGGUGGCGUGUCUUCGGCUCGCUCCAGUGCUUCUAGUCGUCACUAGGUAGUCCAUGAAGGUUGUAAUUUUCAUUACCUCUAGUCUUUUUUUACUGUCAUGAUUGAUCAUGAAUAGAUUGGAAAGUUCUCUCGCAAAAAAUAAUACUACAUGAAGACUAUGUUAUGUAUUAAAGCAAAUAAAACUAGGUUUAACGAGUUUUCCUUGUAACACCAAAAUGCAAAGGAAGUGAGUCUGGCUCGCUUGGUCGGGGACAGAAUGUACAUCGCCCCAUCAUCUUGGCUUCCGUUUCUAUUGGGAAACAGUACAAGCAAACAAGGAAAAAAUGCAAAGACAAAUGUUAUUUACGAAACAUCUUUUUUGUAGGCCAUUUACUUCAGUCUAUAGUUUAUAUAUAGUUCCUACAAACAUGACACUCACAAUAUAAGGAAUGUUGUACGAAGGUAGAGUUGACUCUCGAGCUACGAACAAAAAGGCUAUGAAGGUACAGCUCAAGCAUUAUACAACAUGGUGGCUAUAAACAAAGAUCUUACAACAUACUGUAUGCCCAAGCAAACGGUGUCUUUGAUGUCUCGUAUUUUUGUAGAUAAAGAAAAGGAAGUAGUAGAUGCAAAUUGCUUUUAUUUCCAAACACGCACCAAGAUCCACUGUAGCAGGAGCCACAGUUCGGAAACAAGAAGGGACAGGUCCUUUGCCUGCACGGACGCGCUAUUAAAGGCAAAAUAAAAUAACCUUCCGGAAAAUGACACUGCACAUAAUGCCUGCCUGCUCCAGUCCGGUGAAAGUUUGCAGGGCACUGUGUAGUGUAUGCAUGUGAAAGGACAGCUCGCUACUACUACUACUAUGGUAAAUUCAUCAAUCAAUGCUCGCCGGUCCGGUACUCCAGUUGGUAGUCGUAGUAAAACCCCAAUCUGAUAUCGAGACCUGAAAACCAACCAGUACUCCUUCCAAAUAAGAAAAUAAAGGUAGGAGUACUAGCAUCCCCGCCGUUCGUUUUUCUAGCCGUUGCAGUUUAAUUAAUUGGUAUACAACCAUUAUCAUUCUUAAUCUGCAUGACCGUGCUGUCCACAAGGCGUGCAUGCGCCAAAACAUCCUUAUUUUUCUGCCAGUUUUAAGGUGAGUGAGUGACUCCUUUCCAUUUGCUUUUUUUAGGGUACCUUUCCAUUUGCUGUAAAAUUGAAUGUACCGCGAUUGACUUUUUGAAGAAAAGGCGAGAGCCCGGCUUUAUAAAUAAAGCCAUGCGGCAGAGUACCACAUAAUGCAUCCAAGAGUUCAUCGAACAGAAAUGUAAGUUCAAAGGCGCGCAGGCCAAAACCACACAUAACUGGCAUGCAGGCCAACAACCUACUGCUACGGACGGGAUCCAAAACAUGACGAUCAGGCGAAGGUAGUAGAUGACAUCAAGCUUGCCGACGCCCGAACCUUGUUGAUCAACUCCUCCAAACCGCCCACAUCUGCUGGCUUAGUCAAUAAUUUCCACUGCUGCAAGAAGAUAGACAUUUUAAACAAGACAUCAGCUGGCUUGUUAGGGAAGACACCCUCAAUGGUGAACUUGUUCAUAAUAGUCCAAAGUGACCAACAUAGGGCCCCCAACCCGAUCAAGAAGAGCCUCUUUGUACGACCUUGAAUAGUAUCGGUUAGGGUCCGAAGAUCCGUAAAAGAGGUAGGGGCCCAAGAGACAUUCAUCCACGAUCUGACCCCUCCCCAGGCCAACUUUGCCAGAGGGCAAUCGAGAAAAAUAUGAUUGGUAUUCUCCACAGCAGAGCAUAAAGCACAAAAGGCCGAACCAGGCCCAUUCCUCUUACGAAUCUGGUCAGCCGAAGGCAAACAACCUCUAAUGGCCUGCCAAAGGAAGAUCUUAAUCUUAGGUGGGAUUAUAGCCGCCCAGACCUGUUUAAACUUAGACGUGGGAGAGCCAUCAAUGAGCCUAGCAUAGACAGACUUGACCAAAAAAACACCCGAGGUGGUGUGGGGCCAGGUCACUGAGUCCUCCUCCUCUGAGAGACGAGGGAACAAGGCAGCAAGCCGAUGCCAGUCCUCCAAUUCUUCAGGAGAGAGGGUUCUCCGGAGACCCAAGCCCCAGCCCUUGCAUGAGAGCUCAGAGAUUGAGAUCCCAGGCUCCGAAAAAUAAGAAAACAAAACCGAGAAGGAGGAUGGUAAAGGUGCAUCCCCAGUCCACCAAUCCAACCAGAAGCGAGUCGAGGCACCAUUCCUGACAAUAAACUUGGCGUGCUCGCGGAAAACAUCCCUGAUCCUAAUCAUUUCCCUCCAAAACUGAGACCCAUAGGUCGUCGAGGCGAACAUGGGGCUGCCGAAAGGGAAAUAUUUAGCUUUCAAGGUAUCGAACCAGAGGGUCCCAGGGGAAGCAUGCAUGAUCCUCCACCACCACAUAAUGAUAAGGCACUUAUUCAUCACUAAUGUAUUAAGGAUUCCCAGCCCCCAAGGCUUUUAGGCCUCCAAAUGGCCUUCCAUUUGACAAGCCUGUAUUUACGCUUAUUAUCCGAAGAAUUCCAAUAGAAAGCCCCCUGUGUUUAUCAAAGCCCGCAUGAGUGCCCAGGGAAAGCAUGAAAAAACCCAUCAUGAACAUAGGCAAGGAAGAUAGACAAGCAUUGACGAGGCACACUUUCCCUGCCUGAGUAUUAUAUCUGCCGCGCCAAGGCAUGACUAUGUUACCCACUUUAGCCACCAGAGGUUUGAAUUCUUUAGCAUGCAGAUGGUAGGGGGAAAUAUGCAUGCCCAGGUAUUUAAAGGGAAAGGACACGAGUGAGAAGUUAAGUAACUGGGCCACCCUUAGGGCCUCCGCCUCGUCAACCCCGGUCACGAUGACCUCACUUUUGAAAAAAUUGAUCUUAAGCCCCGAAAAGACUUCAAAGCAUAACAUGAUGAAGUUGAGGUUAACAAGACAUGCCUCGUUCAUCUCCACCAAGAUGAUCGUGUUGUCAGCAUACUGGAGAUGCGUAAUUCCGCGAGCGAGAAGGUGGGAUACGACAGGGGUACUAUGACUAGCCGAAGCCGCACGAUCCAACAUACAUGAUAAGGCAUUGGCCACAAAAUUAAAAAGAAUAGGAGAGGCAGGAUCUCCUUGCCGUAGGCCACGACCGUUGGCGAAAUAUUUGGUGGUCAUGCCAUUCACUGCCACGACCGUGUGGCCCCCAGAGACCAGUUUGCAUCAGUGUGUGUACCACACCCGCAUCAAACCCUUUUGCCAAUAAGACCUGGAGAAGGAAGUCCCAACUAACAGAGUCAUAGGCCUUUUCGAAAUCAAGUUUGAGAAUCAGGGCUCGGGAACCUCUCCAACGCAGAUCAUGCAAAAUUUCAUGAAGGCAAAGAACUCCAUCAAGGAUGAAUCUACUCUUGAUGAAAGCAGUCUGGGUGGGACUAAUGGUACGGUGUACCACCGGAGACAGCCUAGUCUCGAACCAUUUGGAAGGAAACUUAGCAAAGUUAUUAAUCAGGGUAAUUGGGCGAAAAAGGGAGAUAUUGUCAGCGCCCUUGACUUUAGGGAUGAGGGUUAGGAUGGCGUAAUUCAAACGGGAUAUGUCCACCGUCCCUAGACAGAAACCUUAGAUGACCGCACAUACCAAAGGGCGUAGCACCGACCCUAAGCGAUGAAAAAACGGGAUAGAAAAGCCAUCGGGGCCGGAUGCCGAGUUAGAAUUAGCAGAGUCGAUCGCCCUUUCAAUCUCCUCCACAGAUGAGGGGGUCACGAGGACACUAUUUUCCUCGUCCGAGACCCGACAGUGAUUAACCCAUAGGUUGGGUGAGAUAAUAAAGCCAAAGGCCGGUCUAGCGGCUAAAAGCCCAGCAAAGAACUCAUGGACGUGAUCCAAAAUAGCAUGAGGAUCAGAGAUUUGGGCCCCGUUAAUGACCAGGCUAUUAAUCAAGCACCUACUGCGUCGAUCGUUAGCAAUGGCAAAGAAAUACACACUAAGGCAAUCUCCUUUCAAGGUCCAGUUAACGGUACCACAUUGCUUCUAGUAAACCUCGGAUUGACGGUGAAGAUGUAAAAGGCAGGCUUCCAAGUCAUAUCUAUGUUGCCAGCCAGCGGGAGAAAGCCCAGCAGAAUCUGCCUCCGCAUCUAAGGCAACAACUUGCUCCAGCAGCUCACGCUUGUCCAACCACCUCAUCAACAACUAUAGGUUCUCCAAUAAGCACUCCAAAAGCCAUCAGGAACUGGAUGUUUCCAAGCCCGGACGGAACAUCCUCGAGAAGCACCCAAGUUUCAGAAAAGGAGGCCACCACCUUUGCCCUGUCAACUGUUGCCUUGACAGAGGCCGAUGAGGACGCUACGACGUUGUCCUUUGUCAACCGGCUGGAAGCCUUGGACACCUUUGUUGAGAAGCACCUUGACCUCACCACAAAAGUUGCGGCUCCUAAGCCGCCGGUCGGUGGCCCGGUGCACUGAGUCGAGGAGGAGGAGGUCAUACGUUGAUGGAUGCAUAUUUCUUCUUGCCUCCAGUAACCACCACUGCGAUCGCAUCAUCGUGGCCUUAAUUCUUAUUGUGCUAUUGCAUUCCUGUUCUAGUCAAUAAAGACAUGUGCGAUCCCUUUGCUCACAUUUGGAGGCAAUUAUAUGCAUCACUCUAACUAGUACUCCAUCCAUCAAUUUAUAAGUUGAGCUUACCUUUUCCAUCAACUUCGUAAUUUACGUUCGAUGCUUGACCCGACCUACGAACUACUCCUAAAUUCAAAAACUGAGACCGAACUUAUAAAUUCAAAACUACUCGUGCAACACGCCUGUCACGUUCGCAAGUUCAAAACGAGAAACUGGAACACGAUAAUGAAGCAUGUUCCUUCCCCGUCGCAUACCACACUAUCGUUUCGGCCCCCCGGUCAACGCGCAUUGGCCAGGCUUUAUAUCACUACAACAUGUGGGACUGCAUGUGACCAAACCGACGAUGCGUCACCCUAGCUAGUACCCUGCUUAUUAUCUAGAGGGAAAAGCCCUGCCCUAGCGUUUCCAAUCGUUAUUUCUAUCCAUCGAUCGUGCCAAGGAGCAGAACCAAAUGUUACAAUUUAUACAUGUUUCUCUACUCCUAUAAAAGACUCAGUUGGUGAUGAUGGUGUGUCUGCCAUCCGUCAUUUCUGACCAUUAGAUCUGCAUCUAACAGCUGUGAGGUAAGUUGUGGCAUUUUUGCAACAAAAAAUAGCCCACUUCUCUGCUCCAAUUUGCAGAAAACCAUUUAUUAUCUUGAAAGCAACUACAUCCCUCCGUCACCUCAUCAAAACAGCCUAAGAAAUAUAUUUUGAGUGAAACAUGAUAUAUUUUUAGUGGUAUAUGUAUAUCAAAACAAGAAUGUUUUCUUUCAAGUUUGUGAACAAGUACUAUUCUACUUUGGAUCCAUUGCAACGCACGGGCACAUUGCUAGUAAAAGGAAAAGGCCUGCCGCGUUCGCAUCACACCCCCACACGCCCGGGAAUCGGGAGUACUCGACGACCCGUCCGGCACGCCACAUAGCUAGGGAAGGCAUGUUGCCUAGCACUUUCACUUUCAUGUGGGACCACAGUUGAGCAAAUCGACUAUCGGCAAACCGCACCCCGCCCGCCUCGUUGGAAAACAUAAACAAGGAGGGGAAGAUCUAGCUGUAGCACGGAAGCCAAGAAAUUUGGUGUCAGAUGGGACUCAUCGAUAAAGUAGGAGCACUCCGUACUACUCCUACUAUGAGGUUUGUACUACUACUACUACCAGCACUAUACAACUAGAUAUGUGCACGGCACAACAUUGUUAGAACAAAAACCGGGAAGAAGUAGGUACGUACUACUACCACUAUACAUAAUACUGCAUAUUAGGUUUCUCUAAAGUCAAACUUUGUAUACUUUCAACAAUUUGUAGGAAAAAGUAUUAACAUAUACACCACCAAAUAUAUAUCAUUUGAUUCAUCAUUGCUUUUAUUUCCACAUUGUGUAAAUUUGUUAGUGUAAAUGUUCAUAUUACUUUCACCAAAUUCAGUCAAGCUUUAUAAAAUUUGGCUGGAGUCAAAGCUAUAUAUGUGUGGAGUAAAUUACAAAAGGAGGGAGUGGAAUAGACAUAGAUAAAACUAUAUAAAUAAAAAAUAUACUAAUAUAGUCUAUAGAUAUAAAUAAGGCUACUACCCUUUUUCUAGGUUAGAGCUCGUGUUUUUGUAUACACAUUGUUUUGCUUCGCUGUAAUUUGAAUUUGCGGGGUGUGUGUAGGACUACCGCCUUUUGUUCAGUACCAGCAACCCCACCAUUAUCCUUAAUUAAUUCAUAUUGGCAAUUACGAUUGCAUUAUGUUAGUUCUAGCCAGUUCUUCGGUUGCUUGGAGGAACUCCAUCUCGUUAUUCAGGUUGAUUUUGUGCAUACGAUAAGAUCAUCAUCCAUCGAAGAUUUAUUUAGGAACGAUUGUCGAUCUGUAUCACCGGGUACGAUAUAGCUGGAUCGUCAACAUCAAAAUCCACCAAAUCGAUACUUAUCCCCACUCUCAUUGAAAGAUUGGGUCGCCAUUGUAAGACUACCACCUAGACAAUUCCUUCCCUAUAACAUACACAUGAGCACCCAUCUCAUUAUUCAGGUCCACGCCUCCCUCUCUCUCUCUCUCUCAACACACACACCUCUCCAUACGAUGCGUGUCUCUUAGUCUCUCUUCCAUCCCAUGACAAAAAGGCACACCGCCAUUCUCUUCUUCUUGCUACCCCCAUCUAUGUAGUUAGGUCUCCUUGCAACAAACAAGCAUUCAUCUGUGUCUCUACUAUCUCCUUCUACCACACACAACCUUCCACCCCUAGCCAACCGUGUCGUCGAGGUCUAUCCAACUCUCUCACACGGAAAUAGACGUUGUCUGUGUGUCCCUUCAUCGCACACACACUAUCGCUCUCCCAUAUCCGUAACCAUGUCGAUCCCGAUGUUACACCUCUCUCUCUCUCUAACACACAUGCACACACCCUCUCUCUCCCUUUCGGACACUCCUCUCUCUACGACACACAAAGUCUUUCGAACACGCAUAUGCCCCUCUCUCGUUAGGUAUUGCUGCCCCCACCCCCUCUUUGUCACACAAAUAUUCUCUCUAUAUCAAUCUCUCGCAGUAAUAAUUGCAUAAUAUAAAUUAAAACCAACUACAAAAAUGAGCUCCGAUUACAAAAAUCAAAUCCACUCCCAAACAGAAUACGAAAAUAGGGUGAAAUCAUGCACACAAAUGUUUGUUGCGUGCAUGAAUGUCAAUGAUAUGGAUGUACUACUCAUACAUCCACAGAGACCCAUUUCACAAAAAUUACAUUAAACCCUUCUUAAAAUAUGGUGCACAUGUGAUGUUUGUUGUACUGCUCUUUCCAGCCUUCCUCCGACACGUUCCAACAUAUUGUGCUACUUACGAUUCUAUUUUUCUCCUCAAACCAUGUGAAACCACGAAAAGGUCACCCCCCGCCCCCACUGGUACUGUAGCUCGAAGCUCCCACACAGACACGGCACCCAUCGGAGCACGCAGUCAUUGCCGAAGUGGAUGGCGCCGCGGCCUGGGAAGAGGACGGAGUCUCCGACAUCAUUGAGGUGGAGCACGCCCUCUACGGCCGCGAGUAGCGCGCGCUGACUAUCCAUGCGGAGGACAAUGUGAUCUAGAGACUCGCCCUCGUCGGCCACGAGGGGUAGCUGUGCUCUAGUAGCAUGCCCUCGUCGGUCACGAGUAGGUGCAUCACGUCCUCGCCGCUCACAAUGUGGACGAGUGCGUUCUCUAGCAGCAUGCCCGCGAGCAUCGCAUUGUCGAGAGCACACCCGUGAACAAUGCAUCAUCGCCGCUCUUGACGUGGACGAGCGCAUGCUCCGGCAGCAUGCCCGCGAACAUCGCAUCCUUGCCGCUCAAGCGCGCGAGCAUGUGCUCCAACAGCAUGACCACAAGCAUGUCAUCCUCAUGGCUCAGGAGGUUGUUGAGCGCGUGACAGUACCCCAGGAGUCGGGACGCGAGCACCGCGCCCCCGGCUAUGAGGAGUACUACAUGGUGGCCAUCAUGGUUUAGGAAAAUCCCGUGACUCUGCCACUCCUUGGAGGAGCGUGAGCUCUAGUGGGCGCUCGAGGAGUCCCGCGCCGAUAUGCAGGUGGCAGCGGACGUGCAAGAUUAUCCUUCGAGCUCUCCUCCUCUUACGAAGACGCCUCCACCACCCCCAUCAUAUGUCCUAUGCCUCAUCUCUGGUAGACAUUAGGAGUUUAGUUUUAUGGAACAUUAAUAUUUGGAUUAAUCGUACCUCUACCAAACUGUGAAGGAUCAAGACUAAUGCAAAAAACAACCUAUGACUAACAUGCAUAAAUAGAGAAUGUGGAGGCAUUGCAAUUAUGGAUUGCUUGCAUGAGUAGCUUAUGUGGCUUGGUUGCAUGGCUAGGAAAGGCUAGAGAAAAAUAAAUAGAUAAUAUGUUUAGAGUGCACUCCACUGAAUGGGAGCAUGUAAAUAUCUUUAGAGUGCACUCCAUUUUUUUUCCAAAUGCUUAGGUGCACCAGAUGUCGUGCCACGCUACAAAAUGUUAGAAAAAAUAUGCUUAUGUUUUAAAAAUCUAUUCUUAUCUUGAAACCAGACACACCCGCCCCUCACCUCAUCAAAAUAGCCCGAGGAAUAUGUCUUCAGUGAAGCAUAAUUGAUUUUAACUGAUAUAUGUAUAUCAAAACUAGAGUGUUUAUAUUUCAAGUUUGUGAACAAGUAUUAUUCUACUACUUUGGAUCCAUUGCAAUGCAUGGGCCAACACAUUGGUAGUAGUAAGAAACAAAUUCCAACUUUGGCACGAGUUCGUACUACGGGGGCAUCACAAGGCCUGGCGCAGGAGUUACAUUUCCCCCUCGGGGCCCACAGGACUGAGCUUCAGCGGCUUAGUGCACCUACCUUUGAGUCAAUGACACGUGGACCCUAAAUGCGGCUGGCCCACAUGUCAUUCUCAUAAAAGCAGAGGGGCGGUGGGACCGAGAGGGGUGAGUCAUAGGUCGGGGGACGUAUGGUGUCAUGGGAAUUGCGUGUGGCUGUGGUAGAAACUUGAUUGUCGCCAUAGUUCAGCUGGCCCGCAAGCCAGAGGAGCGGUGGGGCCGAGAGGGGUGAGGCACCGUCGGGGGACAUUGUGUCAUCGGUUGGAGCGGCAUCGUGGGAAUCGCAUGCAACAGUGGUAGAAACGUGAUGGUCGCCGUAGUUCAACUUCCAUGGACAAGCUGUCAUGUCUACUGACACAUGCAUUGCACAACGCUCGCUGUAAAGGAGUAGUAGUAGAGAAAACUAGGCAGAUAAAUAGUUAAUUAUAGUCAAGCGGACCAAAGACACUUGUUCAUCAUCAUCAUCAUCUUCUUCUUCUUCUUCUUCUUCUUCUUCUUGUUCCAAAGACGUGCACACCAGCAAAAUAGUUCAUCAAUGUACACAGAGAUGAAAUAUAAUUUUUACAAGAGAGGAAAUAGUUCAUCCAUCUAUAAACUUCUUCUUAUUAUUAUUCUUCUUCUCUCAAGCUCUUUCGACCUUGCAGCUAUCUCGAAACUCACACGGGCAUCGAGGGCAGCAUAUUUUAUCUGCUUGUAGGUCAAGGGACAAUUCUCCCAUCAUGACGACCUUAAUCCCAGCAUCUUGUCACCCUUCUCAAGAUUUGUUCUGAGCACAAAAUUUGCUACCUCGAAUAGGGAUGGUGUUUCUUUAUCACAAUUGUCUACAGAAAUUCCGGUUUGUAGGUCAGCGAUGUUUUUCAAGGCAAGGUUGUACGGCGCCAGCUUCUCUUUGUCCCCUUCGAUGGCUGCCCCACAGAAGUAUAUGUCCUCCCGAGACAUGAAAUAGUGGAGCUCACCUGGUAUGGAGGGUGUGUGUAUGAUGUGAUACACCAAAACUUCAUCUUCGAGGCACAACUGAAGGAGGGCGGCGCGUUGGAUCUUCCAAGUGGCACGCUCCGCGUACUCUGCGCUAUGACCGACGACCUUUCUCUCCACCUUCUGGAGGGAGUUGGAUACAUUGUUGAUCCAUUCUCGAACAACCCUUGGGUGGUCGGUGACGGUGGCAACUAUGCUCAACGAGCCUUCGACGAGGACAUGUUUGACGCUAAAAACCUACAUAGGGAUCUCUUUAGCCAUUAGGAACAGCUGGACUGGAGGGCUAUGGUUUGGAGAAUUAGGAUUAAGAUGGCUAGUCUAACUAAAGAAGAUGAUUAUUUAAAGGGGCUUCAGAAUUACUCCAGGAGGAUGUGAAUCUAGUGGGGUUUGAAUGCAAAUGAAGGAGAGAUGAAGAUGCCGAGGAAAAUCGGUUCCUGAUGGAGAAGUAAAUGGGAGAAGUGGCAUGCAUGCAGAUGAUUAGACGGCUAGGUAGACCAACCUGCAAAACGAGAAGGCUAUGCGGUUCACGUAUUGAGGAGUGGUCCGUGUCCGUGUACGUGCCCAUCCUUCUAUUGCUACAUGUGCCACUGGUUAGUUGAGGUCACUCUUUCGAAUCACCAUGGCGAAACAUUUAAUGAUUCCUUUUUUAUUUUUGGACCCCUCCUGACAGGUGGGACCUACGCAAAACCCACUUGGGUGGACGAACAGAUAUAUAAACAUAUCCAUCUCUUUGCACAAAAAAAUGUGCCGUAGUUGGUUCAGAUUGAUAUUGGCGCAUGCCUGCGAGACACAACCUUUUCUGGUUAAGUAAUAUGCGGUUGUCCUAAAAAAGAAAAGCCCUUCUUCGUGCUUCCGCAUGCACGAGAAUUUGGUUCUGCUCGCAAUAUGGAUGCUACCUGGAGGAUGAAGUGAACCCAGAGGCAUGCUAGCACGGGAGACCUAUUUCUGCUAUACAGUACUACUCCGUAUGUUACUACUAGUAGUAGUACAACUGUGGUACACUUGAUGGUCAAGAUAAUAUUCAUUUGGUCCUCACAGUGAAGUGACAAGACCCUAUGCCUGAGGUGACACUAGUCCAGGCGGCAUGUUCGGGUUACUAAAGUCAGCCUCACCUUGUGCACUAUGCAAUCACUGUCACCACCACUGUAUAGCAUACCUCGCCUCGUCUCCCUCUCCCCUAGCACCAAUCCAUCUCCAUCUCCGUCUUUCUGGAGAUCCUGAGGUCACUCUUCAUCAUCUCACUGUGCCCCCGCGUACCCUCGCCUCGCUCGCCUCCCCCAGUACUACUAUUCCUUCGCUAGCCGCUCCAGCACUGAGAGCCUUCUCCCUGUAAAUCAAGCCCCAAAAACCCUACCUUCCAAACUCCACCAUGGCCGAACGCGAAUUGCGCAGCAUCCAUAUAAGCUGUGAUUGGAGCAAUAUCCCCAGUGACAUCCUCGACCUAUGUUGUUCGUGUAUGGAUAUGUUGAGCAUCGUGUGGCUGGCUGCAUGCUCGAGGGACAUGCACACAUCCAUCGUCGAAGCGAGGCCUGAGCUUUUCAACACACCCUGCUUCCUGCUAUCUGGUCUUGCGAGAUUUGCUCACCAUGAUACAGAGGUGUACAUGACGCUCCUCGACUUCAAUCCGACCUCCAUUAGCCGAAACUUCUUUGCAAGUAUGUAGUGGGUCGCCGUACAUCAUGGCCCUUGACUUUGAUCCGAUCACCAUCGCCCAAAACUUCUUGGCAGGUAUGCAUUGGGUUGACAUAAACUCGCACUGGAUGGCUGCCGUCAGAGAAGACAGGAAAAAGUUGGUGCUCAUGAACUUCCACACCUCCCAUGAGAUUAUCCUUCCUCCGUUGAAUUAUGUAGGGUUUUACCAUCCCGGUCCAAGUCAUCUAGAUUACCACGUAUGUUGGACGGACCUUGUUUUGCAGAAGAUUGUAAUAUGCCAAGUGCGCACACGAUAUGUGGAUUACGCAGACUUCAAGCUAAUUUGCCUUGUUCGACCGCAGACUCGCCUAUCUUUCCGUCGGUGCCUUCUUUAGCUAGAGACGACUCACCUCGCAGUGGAUCAUCAAAGCUGAUACAUGCUUCUGUGAUGCUAUUGAACACAAUGGCAUCAUUGAUACGUCUCCAACGUAUCUAUAAUUUUUGAUUGCUCCAUGCUACUUUAUCUACUGUUUUAGGCAAUAUUGGGCUUUAUUAUCCACUUUUAUAUUAUUUUUGGGACUAACCUAUUAACUGGAGGCCCAACCCAGAAUUGCUGUUUUAUGCCUAUUUCAGUGUUUCGAGGAAAAGGAAUAUCAGACGGAGUCAAAACGGAACGAAAUCAACUAGAGAAGUUAAUUUUGGAAGGAAACCAACCUGAUGGGCUUGGAGUGCAUGUCAGGGGAGUCCCGGGCUGCCCACGAGGGUGGGGGGCGCGCCCCCUACCUCGUGAGCACCCCGGAGGUCCACCGACGUACCCCCUGCACCCAUAUAUACCUACGUACCCUAAAACUUCCAGAACAGAAGAUAGAUCAGGAGUUCCGCCGCCGCAAGCCUCUGUAGCCACCAAAAACCAAUCGGGACCCUGUUCCGGCACCCUGUCGGAGGGGGAUCCCAUCACCGGAGGCCAUCUUCAUCAUCCCGGCGCUAUCCAUGACGAGGAGGGAGUAGUUCACCCUCGGGGCUGAGGGUAUGUACCAGUAGCUAUGUGUUUGAUCUCUCUAUCGUGUUCUCUCUCGUGUCCCUCGAUGGCACGAUCUUGAUGUAUCCCGAGCUUUGCUAUUGUAGUUGGAUCUUAUGAUGUUUAUCCCCCUCUACUCUCUUGUGAUGAAUUGAGUUUCCCCUUUGAAGUUAUCUUAUCGGAUUGAGUCUUUUAUGAGAACACUUGAUGUAUGUCUUGCCGUGAUUAUCUGUGGUGACAAUGGGAUAUCAUGUGCCACUUGAUGUAUGUUUUGGUGAUCAACUUGCGGGUUCCACCCAUGAACCUAUGCAUAGGGGUUGGCACACGUUCUUGACUCUUCGGUAGUAGCUUUGGGGCACUCUUUGAAGUACUUUUAUGUUGGUUGGAUGAAUCUGAGAUUGUGUGAUGCAUAUCAUAUAAUCAUGCCCACGGAUACUUGAGGUGACAAUGGAGUAUCUAGGUGACAUUAGGGUUUUGGUUGAUUUGUGUCUUAAGGUGUUAUUCUAGUACGAACUCUUUUAUAGAUCGAUACGAACGAAUAACUUUGAGGUGGUUUCGUACCCUACCAUAAUCUCUACGUUUGUUCUUCGCUGUUAGUGGCUUUGGAGUGACUCUUUGUUGCAUGUUGAGGGCUUGUCAUAUGUUCUAUCUAUGUUAUUAUUGUUGAGAGAACUUGCACUAGUGAAAGUAUGAACCCUAGGCAUUGUUUCCUAUCUUUGCAAUACCGUUUACGCUCACUUUUAUCGCUCGUUACCUUGCUGUUUUUAUUAUUUCAGAUUACAAAAAACCUAUAUCUACUAUCUAUUUUGCACUUGUAUCACCAUCUCUUCGCCGAACUAGUGUACCUAUACAAUUUUACCAUUGUAUUGGGUGUGUUGGGGACACAAGAGACUCUUUGUUAUUUGGUUGCAGGAUUGCUUGAGAGAGACCAUAUUCAUCCUACGCCUCCUACGGAUUGAUAAACCUUAGGUCAUCCACUUGAGGGAAAUUUGCUACUGUCCUACAAACCUGUGCACUUGCAGGCCCAACAACGUCUACAAGAAGAAGGUUGUGUAGUAGACAUCAAGCUCUUUUCUGGCGCCGUUGCCGGGGAGGCUAGGUAAGUGAAGGUAUAUCUUUAGAUCUUGCAAUCGAAUCUUUUUGUUUCUUGUUUUAGCACUAGUCUAGUUUAUAAAAGAAACUACAAAAAAAUGGAAUUAAGUUUGUCUCAUACGCUUCAACUUUUUAAUAUCUUUCGUGAGUAUGAUGGAAAGGAUAAUUGUGCUCAAGUGCUAGAAGAAGAAAUCUCUAAAUUGUUUGGCACUAAAUAUUUGAAUGAUGAGCAUGAUUGCAAUGUUGUUAGUACGAAUUCCUUGAAUAUCCAUGAUGCUAAUGAUAUGCAAAGCCACAAGCUUGGGGAAGCUAUGUUUGAUGAAGAUGAUAUUUUUUGUCCCCCAAGCUUUAGUGAGCAAGUUUACUAUGAUGAAAGCAUGCCUCCUAUCUAUGAUGAUUAUUGUGAUGACACGUAUGCUUUAAAGAAUAAUGAUAACCAUGAAACUUGUCAUCUUGAUCUUAAUUUUCAGUCACAUGAUAGUUAUUUUGUUGAGUUUGCUCCCACUACUAUUCAUGAGAAGAAUUUUGCUUAUGUGGAGAGUAGUAAAUUUUCUAUGCUUGUAGAUCAUGAAAAGAAUGCUUUAGGUGCUGGUUAUAUUGUUGAAUUCAUUCAUGAUGCUACGGAACAUUAUUAUGAGGGAGGAAUAUAUGCUUGUAGGAAUUGCAAUAAUAUCAAGUUUCCUCUCUAUGUGCUUAAAAUCUUGAAGCUAUGCUUGUUUUACCUUCCUAUGCUUGUUGAUAUUGUUCCCAUAACUUGUUUGUUCACAAAAUCCCUAUGCAUAGGAAGUGGGUUAGGCUUAAAUGUGCUAGUCAUAUGCUUCAUGAUGCUCCCGUUAUGUUUCAAUUCUUAUCUUUUAUGUGAGCAUCAUUGUCAUCAUCAUGCCUAGCUAGAAAGGUAUUAAAGAAAAGCGCUUGUUGGGAGACAACCCAAUAUUUAUCCUUACUGUUUUUGUGUGUCCACAUGAUUAUCCUACUGUAGUAAUCAUGUUAUAUAGCUUUUGUUUCAAUAAAGUGCCAGGUAAGACCUUUAGGAUAGCUUACGGUGAUAGUUGUGUUGAUCCUGCUGAAAAUCAGAAACUUUUGCACCCAGUAAAUUAGUUUUGUUAAUUCAGAGAAAGGUGCUUCUGAUAUGAUUCUUUUUGCUAUGGAUUUGUACACAAAUUGCUUAGGACUUCCUAAUUUGGUAGGACUUUUGGAGUUUCAGAAGUAUACGUUUGAUACAGAUUACUACAGACUGUUCUGUUUUUGACAGAUUCUGUUUUCUAUGUGUUGUUUGCUUAUUUUGAUGAAUCUAUGAGUAGUAUCGGAGGGUAUGAACCAUAGAUAAGUUGUAGUACAGUAGAUAUUACACCAAUAUGAAUUUAUAAUGAGUUCAUUACAGUACCUAAGUGGUUGUUUUAUUUUCUUAGACUAACGGAGCUUACGAGUUUUCUCUUGAGUUUUGUGUGGUUGAAGUUUUCAAGUUUUGGGUAAAGAUUCGAUGGAAUAUGGAAUAAGGAGUGGCAAGAGCCUAAGCUUGGGGAUGCCCAAGGCACCCCAAGGUAAUAUUCAAGGACAACCAAGCAACUAAGCUUGGGGAUGCCCCGGAUGGCAUCCCCUCUUUCGUCUUCAUGCAUCGGUAACUUUACUUGGAGCUAUAUUUUUAUUCACCUCAUGAUAUGUGUUUUGGUUGGAGCAUCAUUUUCUUUUGUUAGUUUUUGCUUUCUGUUGGUUAGAAUAAUGUUUUGCCUCUUUAGUUUCAAUAAAAAGUCAAGGAUAGCCUUUGCCAUGCUUAUUUUGCUAGUUUGCAUGUUGCUGUUUGAAAACAGAAAGUUUACCGCUGUUGCAAAAAUUGCCUAGAAAAGUAAGAGAAUGGUCUAACAUUGAAUCUUUUUGCAUAUUGAGCUCUGAUAAAUUUAUUACAGUGGGAAUUUUAGUUAAUAAUUUUUGUAGUUAGGAAAGUAUUGAUACUCUUGCAUUCUUUACAGACUGUACUGUUUUGGCAGAUUGCUGUUAUGGUUGCAUUGUUUGCAUAUGUUUGCUUGUUUAAAGAUUCUAUUUGAGGAUAGGAGUAUUAAAUAUGCAGAGGCAUUUAGUAUGCAAUGUGGAAUAACAAUUUUAGUGAUUUUUUACAGUAGAAAAUGAUAAGGUUUUGCAUUGGUUUAUACUAACCUAUCUCACGAGUUCUUGUUGAGUUUGUUGUGAAUGAAGCUUUUGAUAAAAAGAAGAGAAACCAUGAUAUGAGAGGAAUUAAGGAGACACAAAAGUUCAAGCUUGGGGAUGCCCACGGCACCCCAAGAUAAUAUUUCAAGAAGUCUCAAGCAUCUAAGCUUGGGCAUGCCCCGGUAGGCAUCCCACCUUUCUUCUUCAACAACUAUCGGUUAGUAUCGGUUGAGCCUAAGUUUUUGCUUCUUCACAUGAGUUGUGCUAUCCUUGCAUUGUAGUUUCCCUUAGAUUUGCUUGCUGUUUGAAUAAAGUAUCAAGAUCUUAAAUUAUUAAAUGGGAGAGUCUUCACAAAGUUGCAUAAUUAUUCGACUACUCAUUGAUCUUCACUUAUAUCUUUCGGAGUAGUUUUUGUUAUUGCUCUAGUACUUCACUUAUAUCUUUUAGAGCACAAUGGUGGUUUUAUUUUUAAGAAAUAGAUGAACUCUCAUGCUUCACUUAGAUUAUUUUGAGAGUCUUAAUAAGCAUGGUAAUUUUCUUAAAUAAUCCUAAUAUGCUAAGCAUAAAAGAUUUGUAAGAAUUCUUAUGAGUGUGUUGAAUACUAAGAAAAGUUUGAUGCUUGAUAAUAAUUUUGAGAUAUGGAGGUGAUAAUAUCAAAGUCGUGCUAGUUGAGUAAUUAUGAAUUUAAAGAAUACUUGUGUUGAAGUUGGCAAGUCCCGUAGCAUGCACGUAUGGUAAAAGUUGUGUAACAAAUUUAUUGCAUGGGGUGCUCUUUUGAUUGCCUUCCCUUGAGUGGAGGUCGGGGACGCGCGAUGGUUAACUCCUACCAACCCCCCCCUAGGAGCAUGCGCAGUAGUACUUUGCUUUGAGGGCCAAUAAAACUUUUGCAAUAAGUAUAUGAGUUCUUUUGACUAAUGUUGAGUCCAUGGAUAUACGCACUUUUACCUUUCCGCCUUUGCUAGCCUCUUCGGUACCGUGCAUUGCCCUUUCUCACCUUAAGAGUUGGUGCAAACUUCGCCGGUGCAUCCAAACCCCGUGAUACGAUACGCUCUAUCACACAUAAACCUCAUUAUAUCUUCCUCAAAACAGCCACCAUACCUAUCUAUCAUGGCAUUUCCAUAGCCAUUCCGAGAUAUAUUGCCAUGCAACUUCCAUCAUCAUCAUCAUGACAUACAUUACUUUUGUCAUAUUGCCAUUGCAUGAUCAUGUAGUUGACAUCGUAUUUGUGGCAAAGCCACCAUGCAUUAUUUUUCAUACAUGUCACUCUCGAUUCAUUGCACCAUCCCGGUACACCGCCGGAGGCAUUCAUAUAGAGUCAUAUCUUGUUCUAAGUUUUGAGUUGUAAUCCUUAUGUUGUAAUCAAUAGAAGUGUGAUGAUCAUCAUUAUUAGAGCAUUGCCCAAAUAAAAAAAAGAAAGGCCAAAAAAAGGCCCAAAAAAAAGAGAAAAGAAAAGGGCAAUGCUACUAUCUCUUUUCCACACUUGUGCUUCAAAGUAGCACCUUGUUCUUCAUGUAGUGAGUCUCAUAUAUUGUGCUUCAAAGUAGCACCUUGUUCUUCAUGUAGUGAGUCUCAUAAGUUGUCUUUUUAUACUAGAGGGAAUUUUUCAUUAUAGAACUUGGCUUGUAUAUUCCUACGAUGGGCUUCCUCAAAUGCCCUAGGUCUUCAUGAGCAAGCGAGUUGGAUGCACACCCACUAGUUUUCUUUUGUUGAGCAUUCAUAGCUCUAGUGCAUCUGUUGCAUGGCAAUCCCUACUCCUCAUGUUGACAUCAAUUGAUGGGCAUCUCCAUAGCCCGUUGAUUAGCCUCGUCAAUGUGAGACUUUCUCCUUUUUUGUCUUCUCCACAUAAUCCCCAUCAUCAUAUUCUAUUCCACCCAUAGUGCUAUAUCCAUGGCUCACGCUCAUGUAUUGCGUGAGAGUUGAAAAAGGCUGAAGCGCGUUAAAAAGUAUGAACCAAUUGCUUGGCUGAAACCGGGGUUGUUCUUGAUGGGAGUAUUUUGUGUGAUGAAAAUGAAGCAUAGCCUAACUAUAUGAUUUUGUAGGGAUGAACUUUCUUUUGCCAUGCUAUUUUGAGAAGACAUGAUUGCUUUGAUUAGUAUGCUUGAAGUAUUAUUAUUUUUAUGUCAAUAUGAACUUUUGUCUUGAAUCUUUCGGAUCUGAAUAUUCAUAUCACAAGUAAGAAGAAUUACAUUGAAAUUAUGCCAAGUAGCACUCCGCAUCAAAAAUUCUUUUUUAUUAUUCACCUACUCGAGGACGAGCAGGAAUUAAGCUUGGGGAUGCUUGAUACGUCUCCAACGUAUCUAUAAUUUUGGAUUGCUCCAUGCUACUUUAUCUACUGUUUUAGGCAAUAUUGGGCUUUAUUAUCCACUUUUAUAUUAUUUUUGGGACUAACCUAUUAACCGGAGGCCCAACCCAGAAUUGUUGUUUUAUGCCUAUUUUAGUGUUUCGAGGAAAAGGAAUAUCAGACGGAGCCAAAACGGAAUGAAAUCAACUAGAGAAGUAAAUUUUGGAAGGAAACCAACCUGAUGGGAUUGGAGUGCACGUCAGGGGAGUUCCGGGCUGCCCACGAGGGUGGGGGGUGCCCCCCUAGGCGCGCCCCCUACCUCGUGAGCACCCCGGAGGUCCACCGACGUACCCCCUGCACCCAUAUAUACCUACGUACCCUAAAACUUCCAGAACAGAAGAUAGAUCGGGAGUUCUGCCGCCGCAAGCCUCUGUAGCCACCAAAAACCAAUCAGGACCCUGUUCCGGCACCCUGCCGGAGGGGGAUCCCAUCACCGGAGGCCAUCUUCAUCAUCCCGGCGCUAUCCAUGACGAGGAGGGAGUAGUUCACCCUCGGGGCUGAGGGUAUGUACCAGUAGCUAUGUGUUUGAUCUCUCUCUCUCGUGUCCCUCGAUGGCACGAUCUUGAUGUAUACCGAGCUUUGCUAUUGUAGUUGGAUCUUAUGAUGUUUCUCCCCCUCUACUCUCUUGUGAUGAAUUGAGUUUCCCCUUUGAAGUUAUCUUAUCGGAUUGAGUCUUUUAUGAGAACACUUGAUGUAUGUAUUGCCGUGAUUAUCUGUGGUGACAAUGGGAUAUCAUGUGCCACUUGAUGUAUGUUUUGGUGAUCAACUUGCGGGUUCCACCCAUGAACCUAUGCAUAGGGGUUGGCACAUGUUCUUGACUCUCCGGUAGUAGCUUUGGGGCACUCUUUGAAGUACUUUUAUGUUGGUUGGAUGAAUCUGAGAUUGUGUGAUGCAUAUCGUAUAAUCAUGCCCACGGAUACUUGAGGUGACAAUGGAGUAUCUAGGUGACAUUAGGGUUUUGGUUGAUUUGUGUCUUAAGGUGUUAUUCUAGUAUGAACUCUUUUAUAGAUCGAUCCGAACGAAUAACUUUGAGGUGGUUUCGUACCCUACCAUAAUCUCUAUGUUUGUUCUCCGCUAUUAGUGGCUUUGGAGUGACUCUUUGUUGCAUGUUGAGGGCUUGUCAUAUGUUCUAUCUAUGUUAUUAUUGUUGAGAGAACUUGCACUAGUGAAAGUAUGAACCCUAGGCCUUGUUUCCUAUCAUUGCAAUACCGUUUACGCUCACUUUUAUCGCUCGUUACCUUGCUGUUUUUAUUAUUUCAGAUUACAAAAACCUAUAUCUACUAUCUAUUUUGCACUUGUAUCACCAUCUCUUCGCCGAACUAGUGCACCUAUACAAUUUACCAUUGUAUUGGGUGUGUUGGGGACACAAGAGACUCUUUGUUAUUUGGUUGCAGGGUUGCUUGAGAGAGACCAUAUUCAUCCUACGCCUCCUACGGAUUGAUAAACCUUAGGUCAUCCACUUGAGGGAAAUUUGCUACUGUCCUACAAACAUGUGCACUUGCAGGCCCAACAACGUCUACAAGAAGAAGGUUGUGUAGUAGACAUCAAUCAUCUACGCGAUCGACAAAGCAGAUGGCACCACGUAUUGUUGGGACGGCGCAUGUAAGUUGUUUUCGUCUGAUUUUAAUGAUAAGACCAUGACACUGUUUGAACUUUUUGUGAUGAUUGGCAUAUCCCUGUUUGAGCAGAAUUUCAGUAGAACUAUGGCAAUGUAUUAGAGAUGCUGUAAAUUAGCUAUAUUUGGAAUGACUUAAUUCAUGCGAUUGUGACCAUGUCAUUACAGCCAAACUGUACCCUUGAAUAAUCAAACAGUUAGGAAGAUAUGGAUAUUCUCCUUACUUUAUAGUAAUCUAUAUACUACUAUAUAUGAGUGUGUACCAAUAGCCAUGUUAGUUUCCUCAUUUUCAUGAUGUAGAAACAUGCAUCACACUAUUGGUUUCAUCUAACCAUACAUUAGGGAAGUAAAUGUGCAUACGGAGAACUCUAUAUUUGGAAGUAGUAAAAUCUUGUAAUGCUUACCGUGUGUACAUACCUAUAUUCGCCCUUUAGCAAUCAAUAUCUAGAAUAAUAUCCUCACAAGAAUUUCGCCCACAGAACAUGAGUAUAUAACAAUGCAUGGUCUUUUAGUUUCCUUGAAGAAUUUGUUUGUGAGGAAAGAACAUGAUUACCCCGUCUGUUCCCAAAUGUAAGUCUUUUUAGAGAUUCCAACAAGGGACUACAUACGGAGCAAAAUGAGUGAAUCUGCACUCUAAAAUAUGUAUAUAUACAUCCGUAUGUUGUAGUCCAUAUGAAAUCUCUAAAAAGACUUAUAUUUAGGAACAAAGGAGUACAUAACAUGCAUGACAUGGUUGUUUCCUGUGAAGAAUCGAUUGCGAGAUAACAUGAGUAUAAUCAUGCAUGGUACUUCUAUAUUUUCGAACCCAGUAUACAUUUCCUUGUAUUUUCCUAGAGCUCAAGUGGGCAUAUUUGUUGGUUAUGCCACAACUCUCAUGCUUACCAUGUUUUCAACAAGUCCACCGGACUCAUUGAGGAGACAUGUAACAUGGAGUUUGAUGAAAAUAACGGUUCUCGAGUGGAGAAAAGUGGUCUUUGUGAUGUAGGUGAUGAAAUUACACCCCAAGCCAUAAGUAGAAUGGGGAUUGGUCAAAUACUCCCCAUUGAGGAACUGUCGGAUUUCGGGUUCCGCCAGACCCUUGAGGUUCGAACACUGGGGUGCGCGCGGAGAUUAUGCCCUCUGUUGGAAAUAUGCCCUAGAGGCAAUAAUAAAAGUAUUAUUAUAUUUCAAUGUUCAUGAUAAAUGUCUUUUAUUCAUGCUAUAACUGUAUUAUCCGGAAAUCGUAAUACACGUGUGAAUACUUAGACCACAAUAUGUCCCUGGUGAGCCUCUAGUUGACCAGCUCGUUGUGAUCAACAGAUAGUCAUGGUUUCCUGACUAUGGACAUUGGAUGUCGUUGAUAACGGGAUCACAUCAUUAGGAGAAUGAUGUGAUGGACAAGACCCAAUCUUAAGCAUAGCAUAAAAGAUCGUGUAGUUCAUUUUGCUAGAGCUUUGCCAGUGUCAAGUAUCUCUUCCUUCGACCAUGAGAUUGUGUAACUCCUGGAUACCGUAAGAGUGCCUUGGGUGUAUCAAACGUCACAACGUAACUGGGUGACUAUAAAGGUGCAUUACAGGUAUCUCCGAAAGUAGCUGUUGGGUUGACACGGAUCAAGACUGGGAUUUGUCACUCCGUAUGACAGAGAGGUAUCUCUGGGCCCACUCGGUAAUGCAUCAUCACAAUGAGCUCAAUGUGACCAAGGUGUUGGACACGGGAUCAUGCAUUACGGUACGAGUAAAGUGACUUGCCGGUAACGAGACUGAACAAGGUAUUGGGAUACCGACGAUCGAGUCUCGGGCAAGUAACGUACCGAUUGACAAAGGGAAUUGCAUACAGUGUUUGAUCGAAUCCUCGACAUCGUGGUUCAUCCGAUGACAACAUCGAGGAGCAUGUGGGAGCCAUCAUGGGUAUCCAGAUCCCGCUGUUGGUUAUUGACUGAGAGCGUCUCGGUCAUGUCUGCAUGUCUCCCGAACCCGUAGGGUCUACACACUUAAGGUUCGGUGACGCUAGGGUUAUUAGGAAGACUAGUAUGUGACUACCGAAUGUUGUUCGGAGUCCCGGAUGGGAUCCUGGACAUCACGAGGAGAUCCGGAAGGGUCCGGAGGUAAAUAUUUAUAUAUGGGAAGUUGUCAAACAGACACCGGGAAGUUUCGGGGUCAUACCGGUAUUGUACCGGGGCCACCGGAAGGGUUCCGGGGGUCCACCGGGAGGGGCCACCCCUCCCGGGGGGCCACAUGGGCUGUGUGGGGCAGGGAGCCAGCCCCUGGUGGGCUGGCCACACCCCCUCCCUUGGGCCCAUGCGCCUAGGGUUGAGGGGGGAACCCUAGAGGGGGCGCCCCCCUUGACUUGGGGGGCAAGCCACCCUCUCCCCUCUCCCCUAGGCCGCCGCACCCCCCCCCUAGAUGGGUUCUAGGGGGCCGGCCCUCUUCUCCCUUCCCCCUAUAAAUAGAGGGGUGAGGGGAGGGCAGCCGCACCACCCUCCAAGGCGCAGCCCUCCCCUCCCCAACACCUCUCCUCCUCCGUUGUGUGCUUGGCGAAGCCCUGUCGGAGUACCGCCUCUCCACCAUCACCACGCCAUCGUGCUGCCGGUGGAGCUGUCUUCCUCAACCUCUCCUUUCCCCUUGCUGGAUCAAGAAGGAGGAGACGUCUCCCGUCCCGUACAUGUGUUGAACGCGGAGGUGCUGUCCGUUCAGCACUUGGUCAUCGGUGAUUCGAAUCACGUCGAGUACGACUACAUCAUCACCUUGCAAGCUUCCGCACGCGAUCUACAAGUGGUAUGUAGAUGCAAACUCUCUCCCUUGACUCGUUGCUUAGAUGAACUCAUAGAUGGAUCUUGGUGAAACCGUAGAAAUUUUUUUAAUUUUCUGCAACGUUCCCCAACAGUGGCAUCAUGAGCUAGGUCUAUGCGUAGUUCUCUUUGCACAAGUAGAACACAAUUUUGUUGUGGGCGUGGAUUUUGUCAUCUUACUUGCCUCUACUAGUCUUUUCUUGCUCAACGGUAUUGUGGGAUGAAGCGGCCCGGACCAACCUUACACGUACGCUUACGUGAGACCGGUUCCACCGACUGACAUGCACUAGUUGCAUAAGGUGGCUGGCGGGUGUCUGUCUCUCCCACUUUAGUUGGAGCGGAAUCGAUGAAUAGGGCCCUUAUGAAGGGUAAAUAGAAGUUGACAAAAUCACGUUGUGGUGAUUCGUAGGUAAGAAAACGUUCUUGCUAGAACCCAAUUGCAGCCACGUAAAAGAUGCAACAACAAUUAGAGGACGUCUAACUUGUUUUUGCAGCGAUUGAUCAUGUGAUGUGAUAUGGCCAGAAGUUGUGAUGAAUGAUGAAUUGUGAUGUAUGAGAUCAUGUUCUUUGUAAUAGGAUUCACGACUUGCAUGUCGAUGAGUAUGACAACCGGCAGGAGCCAUAGGAGUUGUCUUUAUUUUUUGUAUGACCUGCGUGUCAUUGAAUAACGCCAUGUAAACUACUUUACUUUAUUGCUAAACGUUAGUCAUAGAAGUAGAAGUAGUCGUUGGCGUGACAACUUCAUGAAGACACGAUGAUGGAGAUCAUGAUGAUGGAGAUCAUGGUGUCAAGCCGGUGACAAGAUGAUCAUGGAGCCUCGAAGAUGAAGAUCAAUGGAGCUAUAUGAUAUUGGCCAUAUCAUGUCACAACUAUAUAAUUGCAUGUGAUGUUUAUUAUGUUUAUGCAUCUUGUUUACUUAGGACGACGGUAGUAAAUAAGAUGAUCCCUUACAAAAAAUUUCAAGAAGUGUUCUCCCCUAACUGUGCACCGUUGCUACAGUUCGUCGCUUCUAAGCACCACGUGAUGAUCGGGUGUGAUGGAUUCUUACGUUCACAUACAACGGGUGUAAGACAGUUUUACACAGCGAAAACACUUAGGGUUAACUUGACGAGCCUAGCAUGUGCAGACAUGGCCUCAGAACACGGAGACCGAAAGGUCGAACACGAGUCGUAUGGAAGAUACGAUCAACAUGAGAAUGUUCACCGACGAUGACUAGUCCGUCUCACGUGAUGAUCGGACACGGGCUAGUCGACUCGGAUCGUGUAACACUUAGAUGACUAGAGGGAUGUCUAAUCUAAGUGGGAGUUCAUAAUUUGAUUAGAACUUUAUUAUCAUGAACUUAGUCUAAAACCUUUGCAAAUAUGUCUUGUAGAUCAAUGGACAACGCUAAUGUCAACAUGAACUUCAACGCGUUCCUAGAGAAAACCAAGCUGAAAGAUGAUGGCAGCAACUAUACGGACUGGGUCCGGAACCUGAGGAUCAUCCUCAUAGCUGCCAGGAAACAAUAUGUCCUAGAAGGACCGCUAGGUGACGCUCCCGUCCCAGAGAACCAAGACAUUAUGAAUGCUUGGCAGUCUCGUGCUGAUGAUUACUCCCUCGUUCAGUGUGGCAUGCUUUACAGCUUAGAACCGGGGCUCCAAAAGCGUUUUGAGCAUCACGGAGCAUAUGAGAUGUUCGAAGAGCUGAAACUAGUUUUUCAAGCUCAUGCCCGGGUCGAGAGAUAUGAUGUCUCCGACAAGUUCUACAGUUGUAAGAUGGAGGAAAACAGUUCUGUCAGUGAGCACAUCCUGAAGAUGUCUGGGUUGCACAACCGUAUGACCCAGCUGAACAUUAACCUCCCAGAUGAGGCGGUCAUUGACAGAAUCCUCCAGUCGCUCCCACCAAGCUACAAGAGCUUUGUGAUGAACUACAACAUGCAGGGGAUGGAAAAGACCAUUCCUGAAGUGUUCUCGAUGCUGAAGUCAGCAGAGGCUGAAAUCAAGAAAGAACAUCAAGUGUUGAUGGUCAAUAAGACCACUAAGUUCAAGAAGGGCAAGGGUAAGAAGAACUUCAAGAAGGACGGCAAAGAUGUUGCUGCGCCUGGUAAGCCAGUUACCGGGAAGAAGUCAAAGAAUGGACCCAAGCCUGAGACUGAGUGCUUUUAUUGCAAGGGGAAGGGUCACUGGAAGCGGAACUGCCCCAAAUACUUAGCGGAUAAGAAGGCCGGCAACACCAAAGGUAUAUUUGAUAUACAUGUGAUUGAUGUGUACCUUACCAGUACUCGUAGUAACUCCUGGGUAUUUGAUACCGGUGCCGUUGCUCAUAUUUGUAACUCACAGCAGGAGCUGCGGAAUAAACGGAGACUGGCGAAGGACGAGGUGACGAUGCGCGUCGGGAAUGGUUCCAGAGUCGAUGUGAUCGCCGUCGGCACGCUGCCUCUACAUUUACCUACGGGAUUAGUUUUGAACCUUAAUAAUUGUUAUUUAGUGCCAAGUUUGAGCAUGAACAUUGUAUCUGGAUCUCAUUUGAUAUGAGAUGGCUACUCAUUUAAGUCUGAGAAUAAUGGUUGUUCGAUUUAUAUGAGAGAUAUGUUUUAUGGUCAUGCUCCGAUGGUCAAUGGUUUAUUCUUAAUGAAUCUCGAGCGUAAUAUUACACAUGUUCAUAGUGUAGAUGCCAAAAGAUUUAAAGUUGAUAACGAUAGUCCCACAUACUUGUGGCACUGCCGCCUUGGUCACAUUGGUGUCAAGCGCAUGAAGAAGCUCCAUGCCGAUGGACUUUUAGAGUCUCUUGAUUAUGAAUCGUUUGACACGUGCGAACCAUGCCUUUUGGGCAAAAUGACCAAGACUCCGUUCUCCGGAACAAUGGAGCGAGCAACCAACUUGUUGGAAAUCACACAUACCGAUGUGUGCGGUCCAAUGAGCGUUGAGGCUCGCGGAGGAUAUCGUUAUGUUCUCACUCUCACAGAUGACUUGAGUAGAUAUGGGUAUGUCUACUUAAUGAAACACAAGUCUGAGACCUUUGAAAAGUUCAAGGAAUUUCAGAAUGAGGUAGAGAAUCAACGUGACCGAAAGAUAAAAUUCUUACGACCAGAUCGUGGAGGAGAAUACUUAAGUCACGAAUUUGGUACACACUUAAGGAAAUGUGGAAUCGUUUCACAGCUCACGCCGCCUGGAACACCUCAGCGAAACGGUGUGUUCGAACGUCGUAAUCGCACCCUAUUGGAUAUGGUGCGGUCUAUGAUGUCUCUUACCGAUUUACCGCUAUCAUUUUGGGGAUACGCUCUAGAGACAGCUACAUUCACUUUAAAUAGGGCACCGUCUAAAUCCGUUGAGACGACACCGUAUGAAUUAUGGUUUGGAAAGAAACCUAAGCUGUCGUUUCUAAAAGUUUGGGGAUGCGAUGCUUAUGUCAAGAAACUUCAACCUGAAAAGCUCGAACCCAAGUCGGAAAAAUGCGUAUUCAUAGGAUACCCUAAGGAAACUAUCGGGUAUACCUUCUACUUAAGAUCCGAAGGCAAGAUCUUUGUUGCCAAGAACGGAUGCUUUCUGGAAAAAGAGUUUCUCUCGAAAGAAGUAAGUGGGAGGAAAGUAGAACUCGAUGAAGUACUACCUCUUGAGCGGGAAAGUGGUGCAGCGCAGGAAACCGUUCCUGUAAUGCCCACACCAACUGAAGAGGAAAACAAUGAUGAUGAUCAAGGUACUUCGGAUCAAGUUACUGCUGAACUUCGUAGGUCCACAAGGACACGUUCCGCACCAGAGUGGUACGGCAACCCUGUCCUGGAAAUCAUGUUGUUAGACAACAAUGAACCUUCGAACUAUGAAGAAGCGAUGGCGGGCCCGGAUUCCAACAAAUGGCUUGAAGCCAUGAAAUCCGAGAUAGAAUCCAUGUAUGAAAACAAAGUAUGGACUUUGACAGACUUGCCCGAUGAUCGGCGAGUGAUAGAAAACAAAUGGAUCUUUAAGAAGAAGACGGACGCGGAUGGUAAUGUUACAAUCUAUAAGGCUCGACUUGUCGCUAAGGGUUAUCGACAAGUUCAAGGGAUUGACUACGACGAGACUUUCUCUCCCGUAGCGAAGCUGAAGUCCGUCCGAAUCAUGUUAGCAAUUGCCGCAUACUAUGAUUAUGAGAUAUGGCAAAUGGACGUCAAAACGGCAUUCCUUAACGGGCAUCUUAAGGAAGAACUGUAUAUGAUGCAGCCGGAAGGAUUUGUCGAUCCUCAGAACGCUAACAAAGUAUGCAAGCUCCAGCGAUCCAUUUAUGGACUGGUGCAAGCAUCUCGGAGUUGGAACAUUCACUUUGAUGAGAUGAUCAAAGCGUUUGGGUUUAUGCAGACUUAUGGAGAAGCCUGCGUUUACAAGAAAGUGAGUGGGAGCUCUGUAGCAUUUCUCAUAUUAUAUGUAGAUGACAUACUCUUGAUGGGAAAUAAUAUAGAAUUUCUGGACAACAUUAAGGCCUACUUGAAUAAGUGUUUUUCAAUGAAGGACCUUGGAGAAGCUGCUUAUAUAUUAGGCAUCAAGAUCUAUAGAGAUAGAUCGAGACGCCUCAUAGGUCUUUCACAAAGCACAUACCUUGAUAAGAUUUUGAAGAGGUUCAAAAUGGAUCAGUCCAAGAAGGGGUUCUUGCCUAUGUUACAAGGUGUGAGACUGAGCUCAGCUCAGUCACCGACCACGGCAAAAGAUAAAGAAGAGAUGAGUGUCAUCCCCUAUGCUUCAGCCAUAGGAUCUAUUAUGUAUGCCAUGCUGUGUACCAGACCCGAUGUAAACCUUGCCGUAAGUUUGGUAGCAAGAUACCAAAGUAAUCCCGGCAAGGAACACUGGACAACGGUCAAGAAUAUCCUGAAGUACCUGAAAAGGACGAAGGACAUGUUUCUCGUUUAUGGAGGAGACGAAGAGCUCGUCGUAAAGGGUUACGUCGACGCUAGCUUCGACUCAGAUCUGGAUGACUCUAAGUCACAAACCGGAUACGUGUAUAUGUUGAAUGGUGGAGCAGUAAGCUGGUGCAGCUGCAAGCAGAGCAUCGUGGCGGGAUCUACGUGUGAAGCGGAGUACAUGGCAGCCUCGGAGGCAGCGCAUGAAGCGAUUUGGGUGAAGGAGUUCAUCACCGACCUAGGAGUCAUACCCAAUGCGUCGGGGCCGAUCAAACUCUUCUGUGACAACACUGGAGCUAUUGCCCUCGCCAAGGAGCCCAGGUUUCACAAGAAGACCAGGCACAUCAAGCGUCGUUUCAACUCCAUCCGUGAAAAUGUUCAAGAUGGAGACAUAGAGAUUUGCAAAGUGCACACGGAUCUGAAUGUCGCAGAUCUGCUGACUAAACCUCUCUCGCGUGCAAAACAUGAUCAACACCAGAACUCUAUGGGUGUUCGAUUCAUCACAAUGUAACUAGAUUAGUGACUCUAGUGCAAGUGGGAGACUGUUGGAAAUAUGCCCUAGAGGCAAUAAUAAAAGUAUUAUUAUAUUUCAAUGUUCAUGAUAAAUGUCUUUUAUUCAUGCUAUAACUGUAUUAUCCGGAAAUCGUAAUACACGUGUGAAUACUUAGACCACAAUAUGUCCCUGGUGAGCCUCUAGUUGACCAGCUCGUUGUGAUCAACAGAUAGUCAUGGUUUCCUGACUAUGGACAUUGGAUGUCGUUGAUAACGGGAUCACAUCAUUAGGAGAAUGAUGUGAUGGACAAGACCCAAUCUUAAGCAUAGCAUAAAAGAUCGUGUAGUUCGUUUUGCUAGAGCUUUGCCAGUGUCAAGUAUCUCUUCCUUCGACCAUGAGAUCGUGUAACUCCCGGAUACCGUAAGAGUGCCUUGGGUGUAUCAAACGUCACAACGUAACUGGGUGACUAUAAAGGUGCAUUACAGGUAUCUCCGAAAGUAGCUGUUGGGUUGACACGGAUCGAGACUGGGAUUUGUCACUCCGUAUGACGGAGAGGUAUCCCUGGGCCCACUCGGUAAUGCAUCAUCACAAUGAGCUCAAUGUGACCAAGGUGUUGGACACGGGAUCAUGCAUUACGGUACGAGUAAAGUGACUUGCCGGUAACGAGACUGAACAAGGUAUUGGGAUACCGACGAUCGAGUCUCGGGCAAGUAACGUACCGACUGACAAAGGGAAUUGCAUACAGGGUUUGAUCGAAUCCUCGACAUCGUGGUUCAUCCGAUGACAACAUCAAGGAGCAUGUGGGAGCCAUCAUGGGUAUCCAGAUCCCGCUGUUGGUUAUUAACUGAGAGCGUCUCGGUCAUGUCUGCAUGUCUCCCGAACCCGUAGGGUCUACACACUUAAGGUUCGGUGACGCUAGGUUAUUAGGAAGACUAGUAUGUGACUACCGAAUGUUGUUCGGAGUCCCGGAUGGGAUCCUGGACGUCACGAGGAGAUCCGGAAGGGUCCGGAGGUAAAGAUUUAUAUAUGGGAAGUUGUCAAACACACACCGGGAAGUUUCGGGGUCAUACCGGUAUUGUACCGGGGCCACCGGAAGGGUUCCGGGGGUCCACCGGGAGGGGCCACCCCUCCCGGGGGGCCACAUGGGCUGUGUGGGGCAGGGAGCCAGCCCCUGGUGGGCUGGCCGCACCCCCUCCCUUGGGCCCAUGCGCCUAGGGUUGAGGGGGGAACCCUAGAGGGGGCGCCCCCCUUGACUUGGGGGGCAAGCCACCCUCUCCCCUCUCCCCUAGGCCGCCGCACCCCCCCUAGAUGGGUUCUAGGGGGCCGGCCCCCUUCUCCCUUCCCCCUAUAAAUAGAGGGGUGAGGGGAGGGCAGCCGCACCACCCUCCAAGGCGCAGCCCUCCCCUCCCCAACACCUCUCCUCCUCCGUUGUGUGCUUGGCGAAGCCCUGUCGGAGUACUGCCUCUCCACCAUCACCACGCCGUUGUGCUGCCGGUGGAGCUGUCUUCCUCAACCUCUCCUUUCCCCUUGCUGGAUCAAGAAGGAGGAGACGUCUCCUGUCCCGUACGUGUGUUGAACGCGGAGGUGCUGUCCGUUCAGCACUUGGUCAUCGGUGAUUUGAAUCACGUCGAGUACGACUACAUCAUCACCUUGCAAGCUUCCGCACGCGAUCUACAAGUGGUAUGUUGAUGCAAACUCUCUCCCUUGACUCGUUGCUUAGAUGAACUCAUAGAUGGAUCUUGGUGAAACCGUAGGAAAAAUUUUAAUUUUCUGCAACGUUCCCCAACACCCUCCACCUACCUGUUCCUCGCCGAAUCGCUAGGAUCUAAACUACGAAAGGAUCAACACAAGAGACACAGGGUUUAUACUGGUUCAGGCCACCAUUGUGGUGUAAUACCCUACUCCAGUGUGUGGUGUGGUGGAUUGCCUCUUGGGCUGAUGAUGAACAAUACAAGGAAGAACAGCCUCGCGAGGGUCUGUUCUUGACUGGUGCGAUGAACUGCUAGGAGGAGUUCAGUCACCCUAUCUCUCUCUCUUUCUAUUCUAGAUGUAUGCCAGAUACCAGAUGAUCCUCUACCCUGGGGGUGGCUAGUCCUAUUUAUAGGCAAAGGCCCUGGGCCUCUUCCCAAAUAUUGAGCGGGAAGGGCGCCAACAAUUGGCCAUUUUGAAGGGGAACAACGGGUACACUUAUCCUGACUAAAGUUGGUCCUCGCCUGUCAAAGGCUCUGGUGGUGAUGCUGGCUUGGGCUCCACGGUGACCUCCAUCCUGCCGUUGGACUGGUCUUGGUCUUGUUGCACCAAAAUGGAUGCCUUUGCUUGAUGCUCUCGCCUGCGCUUGCUCUCCUUGCACCAAAGAGGAAAGGAGGACACUGCGCGGGCUGGCGCCCGAUUGGCGCCCUUGGUCGUCAUGGCUUGCGUCAUGGGCACCUCGCGAGGUACCCUGCCUUGAACUCUCCGCCUCCUCCUGAGCCAGCCUGAUGAGGCCAUGCCUGAGGAAGCUCCUUGUCGUCCGCCCCACGAGGCUUGGCCCCUCACGAGGGUCUUGAGCUUGUGUUGAUGAAGAUGGGCCAUGCUGGGCCCCCUUUGAGCCACGCCGCAGGCCGCAGGCAGGCAAGUCUGGGGACCCCCGUUCCCAGAACGCCGACAGUAGCCCCCGGGCCCAAGGCGCGCCCGGACUUGGCCGAGCAGUGAGGCGAAAGGGCAAGUGCGAAGCACCGCGGGCCCUUACAGCCUGCGGCCUUGGGCGCCACGUGGCGGUUGAUUGGACGUGGGCGUCUCCACUUCCCCAUGAUGCCUCGGCGACUGCAUGAAUUGUCAAGUCCCUGCAUGUGAAGCGAGUCAUGAUUACCUGUGGUCGUGGGGGCCGAUGGUUGGCCUCCUCUGUCCUUAAGUACGACACGCCGCGUGCCCUUCCAGUUCAUCCCCUCUUGCAUCCCCUUCUUCCUCAUGGCUCCGUCAAGGAAGUUCUCGGCCGUAGAGAAGGGAAAGGCCCGCCAGGCUGCGCCUGCCUCUCCCCUGCCCAAGCGCCGCCGAGGCCGCCCUCGCAAACACCCUGUGGCCUCCGCGGCGGCUCCCCGUGGCCGCGGAGGUGACUUCCCAUGUGGCGACGGGCGGCCGGCCGCGGACAGGGGGUGUGUUUCGGCCGUGCGACCCCCGAGGCCGCGCUCCCGCGCUGCAGAGGUGCUGCCGGAGUUUGUUGUGUGGGCGGCGGAGCCGACCAACACCCGGCUUCAGCUCCCUCGCUUCUUCCUAGGUGACCUCCCAGCUGGCACCUUGGGUGGCCUCUGGCUCCAGGCAGAUGGCUGCUGCAGCCGGGCCUCGUGGGCUUUGCUGGAGGUCUCCGCCGCCGGGAGCCUGGCCUUGACCCGCGGCUGGCAGACGUUUGCCCACGCGCGUGGCUUGAGCCGCCGGUGCACUCUACACUUCAAGUUCGACGGCGAUGCCACCCUUUACGUGAGGGUGUUUGGGGAAUAUGGUCGCCGCGCAGGGUGCUGCCCUGAAGACGACGACCGCGGCCGAGGACUCAGCCCCGGUGAGGACGGAGAGGACAGCAUGCGCGUGGUUGGCAGUGCCCAGGGUUCCUCAAGCUUCACUGGCUCCUCUUCGGGCAGCAACUCUUCUAGCAGCGGCCGCGGUCAGCCUCCACGCCGUCGUGCCUGCUUGGGGGGUGGUAGCGGGUCUGCCCGCCGUCGCACCCUGGUGAAGCGCGAGAGGGAGUCCACUUGAGCUCCGGAGGCAGCUCGAGUCCUCCCUGAGGGCCGGGGCCUGGAGAGCUUCGCCUAAUUUGUUCUUCCUUUUCCUUUUUCCUGCACAAAAAGACAGCAAUGUGGGGCCCCGUGGGGGCGUGUUUGGGUUACCGUUGUUAAUCAUCAUACUGUUUCCGUUAUUUUGGUGUUGUUCCUCCCUGCCGUACGCCUGUACGUAGGUAAUCCCCAGCCUUAGCCAUGGGGCGACCGACCCAGGUCCUGUAUUCGUGUCACGGUGCCCGUGAGGCACGGACUGGAGGGGUGCUCCUGUAGUGGACCCGGGUUGUGAGGCCUUGACCGAAAGGACCAAAACACUCGCGAGGGCGCUCGGCCGCCCCCUCGCGAGACCUUGCGCAAGAGAAAUCGAGGCUGGAGGGCGAAAAGUCGAAGAGCCAUAAGUCAAAAGACGGCGAUAGUUUCCAUAAAACUUCAAAUGAGAAUGAACCAGCCAACUGCAGAAAGCAAAUGAAAAAGCCGCGUCCGGCACCUAGUCUAGUCUUCGAUGUCUUCUCACUAGCACGAAGCUAAGUGCUGCCACUGGGCGUGGGAGGGAGCCCCAGGGCCUGAGGCCGACGCUCCUGAGACUCCGGGGCGUGUACAACCCCAACUCAUUAUUACGUGAGAGUGUCACGGGCGGCGAGCUUCACAGGCGUUGGCCUUCUUCACAGGCUCCGGGCCUUUCUUCGGGGAAGCAAUCUUCACGGGCAUUGGCCCUCUUCACAGGCUCCGGGCCUUUCUUCGGGGAAGCAAGCUUCACGGGCAUUGGCCCUCUUCACAGGCUCCGGGCCUUUUCCAAAAAGAUGAUCUUCACAGGCAUUCGCCUUCUUCACAGGCUCUGGGCCUUUUCCAAAAAGAUGAUCUUCACAGCCAUUCGCCUUCUUCACAGGCUCUGGGCCUUUUCCAAAAAUAUGAUCUUCACAGGCAUUCGCCUUCUUCACAGACUUUGGGCCUUUUCCAAAAAGAUGAUCUUCACAGGCAUUCGCCUUCUUCACAGGCUCUGGGCCUUUUCCAAAAAGAUGAUCUUCACAGGCAUUCGCCUUCUUCACAGGCUCUGGGCCUUUUCCAAAAAGAUGAUUUUCACAGGCAUCCGCCUUCUUCAUAGGCUCUGGGCCUUUUUUAGGGGUAAAACCUCCGGAGGUGCGGGAUGUUCCACGCAUUCUGGACUGGCACCCCCUCCUGAGUCCCCAAGCGCGUGGAGCCAGGCCUGGAAACAUGAACAACCUUGAACGGGCCCUCCCACAUGGGAGAGAGCUUAUGCAGUCCCUCCCUGGAGAGAACCCGCCCGAGCACGAGGUCCCCUACCUCAAGAGUCCUGGGGCGGAUGUUGCGGCAGUGGUAUCGCUGCAGCACUUGUUGAUAUCUCGCCGCUCGCAAUGCGGCUUCUCGGCGACGCUCCUCCCCCAGCACGAGGUCCAUCCCCCGCAUGGUGUCCUGCUGCGCUUUGUCGAACGCCAGGACCCGUGCGGAACGAUGUCUGACCUCAUGACGGAGGACCGCCUCGGCUCCAUAGACCAAGAAGAACGGGGUCUCUCCACUCGGCUUGGUUGCGGUCGUGCGGAUGGACCACAACACGGACUGAAGCUCGUCGUGCCAGCCUCUGCCGCAGGCUUCCAGCUUCUUCUUGAAUGUUCUGGUCUUGAGGCCCCUCAGGACCUCCUCGUUGGCCCGCUCGGCUUGGCCGUUGCUUCGGGGGUGCGCCACUGAAGCGUAGCAUAUCUGCGUUCCAAGGUUAGCACAGUAUGUUUUGAAGAGGUUACUGGUGAACUGCGAACCGUUGUCGGUGAUGAUGCGGUUCGGCACCCCAAACCGGCUCACGAUGCCCUUGAUGAACUUGACCGUUGAACCCGCGGGGAUGGUGCGGACAGCUUUCACUUCGGCCCACUUGGUGAACUUGUCCACGGCGAUGUAGAGGUAGCGAUAGCCCCCUGGCGCCCGAGGAAACGGGCCCAGGAUAUCAAGCCCCCAGACUGCGAAUGGCCACGUGAGGGGUAUGGUCUGCAGACCUCCCGCCGGCUGAUGGAUCUGUUUUGCAUGGAAUUGACAGGCUUCGCAAGCCUUUACCAGUUCGAAGGCGUCACUGAGCGUAGUAGGCCAAUAGAAGCCGCUGCGGAAUGCCUUUCCCACGAGGGUUCGUGAUGACGAGUGGUGCCCAUAGUCUCCACCGUGUAUAUCCGCCAACAGCUCUUUCCCUUGCUCCCUGGAGAUGCAGCACAAGGACACAUCAUUUGGUCGCUUCCGGUAGAGUUCCCCAUCCCUGAUGCAGUAUGCUGUGGCUUUCCGCGCCACACGCUCCGCUUCUUCUUCCUUCUCCGGCAGGGUCCCUUGCAUUAAGUAACUCCGGAGCUCUGUGAUCCAGCACCCCUCCUGAGGCUCCAUUGCCAGGAGUAGGCAUGCUCCUGAGGCUGGGCCACAGGCCGGGGCUCCCGAGGCAGGCGGCUGGGGGAGCUCCUCCCGAGGCUGUGCCGCGUUUGAUAGUGAUGGCAUGGCCGAGGGCUUGAAGAGCUGCUCCUCGAAGACGCCAGACUCCUGAGGCAGCCGCAUGGAUGCUUGUUUGGCGAUGUCGUCGGCCUCUUGGUUAGUGCCGCGGGGCACGUGUUGUAGCUCUAACCCCCAGAACUGCUUUUCCAUCCCGCGGACCUCCACAAGAUAGGCCUCCAUGUGCUCAUCUCGUGGCUCAUAUACCUUGUUGGAGAAGUUGACAAGGAGCUGUGAAUCACCCUUGAUGGUAAGGCGCUUCACCCCCAGGGCUGCGGCGGCCUUCAACCCCGCUAUCAGUCCCUCAUAUUCUGCUAUAUUGUUGGAGACCUUUUCACCCUGCUGGAAGCAGAGUUGCACGGUGUAGUACAACUUGUCCUGAGCAGGAGAUAUGAGCACUGCCCCAGCCCCAGCACCAUGCCCGGAGAACGCCCCGUCGAAGUACAUGACCCAGCCUUCUGGCGCCUCGCUCCCCGGGGAGAGGGAUCGGUCCUCGUCGGUCUUGAGGUCCGGUGCUUCCGUCCAUUCAGCCACGAAAUCUGCUAGCGCGACACCCUUGAUGACCCUGGUCGUGCUGAAUUCGAGCUGAAACACUUGCAGUUCCGUGUUCCACUCGGCGACCCUUCCGGCCGAGUUAGGGCUCCUGAGCACCCUUUCCAAGGGGUAUGCUGAGACAACCUUGAUCGGGUGACCCCGGAAGUAGUGCCGCAUCUUGCGCGAGGCCACCAGCAGCGUGAGGAGGAGCUUCUGUGGCAUGGGGUACCGUGCCCUCGCAUCCCGCAACACUGUGCUGACGAAGUACACCGGGUGCUGGACGAGGCUUGGAGCGUCGGCGCUGGUGGCGUCCUCCAGAGGCCAUGGCGCUUGUUGAGGCGAUGGGGCCUCCGGAAGCUGGUUGCCUGGGGGAAGGGCCUCUCCCACUCCCGGUGCGUUCCCCUGCGGCGGCUGAUCUUCCUCAGUCGUGGUAGUGAUCUUUGCGAGUCCUUUUUGGUCCUGCUUUGCCUUGGCACAGGUAGCUGCCGUGGCCUUGGUCCGACACUCCUCCCUAACCGCCACCAGAGCCGCGCUGGCGGAGUAAGGAGUGGCGGCAAGGUAGAGUACCAAGGGCUCUCGAGGGCGUGGGGCCACCAUCACCGGAGGGCUGGUUAGGUAUCUCUUGAGAUCUUGGAACGCCUUGUCGGCCUCUUCAGUCCAUUCAAAGGGCCCCUUUUUCUUCAUCAGCUGGAAGAAAGGCAGCGCUCGCUCCCCUAACCUGGAGAUGAAGCGCCCCAGCGCAGUCACGCGCCCAGUGAGCUUCUGCAUCUCUCUGAGGGUCUUUGGCGGGCUCAUGUCCUCGACCGCCUUGACCUUUUCUGGGUUGGCCUCGAUGCCUCGGUGGGACACGAAGAAGCCCAAGAGCUUGCCCGAGGGGACUCCAAACACACACUUCUCCGGGUUGAUCCGUAGGCUCACUGCGUUGAGGUUUGCAAAGGUUUCCUCCAGGUCUUGUAUCAGGGUCUUGGCCUCGCGAGACUUCACUACAAUGUCGUCGACGUACGCUUCCACAUUCUUCCCGAGUUGCGGGCCUAGGGUGAUGUGCAUGAGCCGCUGAAAGGUUGCCCCCGCGUUGCACAGUCCGAAGGGCAUGCAUGUAUAGCAGUACACCCCACACGGGGUUAGGAAGGCCGUCUUCUCCAUGUCUUCCACCGCCAUCUUGAUCUGGUGAUACCCGGAGAAGGCAUCCAAGAAGCAUAAUAGGUCACACUCAGCGGCGGAAUCGACGAUCUGAUCGAUGCGCGGGAGCGGGAAUGGAUCUUGCGGGCAUGCUUUGUUGAGGUUGGUGAAGUCGACACACAUGCGUUCCUUCCCUCCCUUCUUUGGCACAACCACAGGGUUGGCCAACCAAUAUGGAUAUCGGACCUCGCGAAUGACCCCCGCGGCUUCUAGCUUGCGGGUCUCCUGGACGAUGAAGGCCUGCUUUUCAGUGGACUGCCGCCUUGCUUUCUGCUUCACGGGGCGCACGUUGGGGCACACGUUGAGGUGGUGCUCGAUCACGCCCCGUGGGAUCCCUGCCAACUGAUCGGGCUCCCAAGCGAACACCUUCUUGUUUGCACGCAGGAACUUGACCAGGGCUUCCUCCUGCUCAGGCCCGAGGUGGGCACCUAUGGUGAAAGUGGCGCUAGUGGACCCGUCCUCGUCGACGGGUAUCUGCUUGGUCUCCGCCUUGUCUUGGGUGAACAACUGUUUCUUCUUGGCUGGUGCAGCCCCCUUGGGCUCGGGGGCCCCCACGUCGACGGGCUGUGCCGACGCCGCCGUCUUGAAGGCGAACUUGAGCGCUCGCAGCGCAUCCCCGGCGUCCCCAGGCACGAUGAGGACUCUGCUACUCCCGGGCAUCUUCAUAAGGUUGUAUGCCGGGUGAGUCGCGACCAUGAAUUGGGCCAGUGCUGGGUAGCCGAUGAUGGCAUUGUAGGGGAGGCCGAUGAGGGCGAUAUCAAAAUCGACCAGCUCCGUGCGGAAGUUGUCGUAGGUGCCGAAAGUUACUGGGAGCCGGAUCUGUCCCAAGGAGUUGGAAGACCCGCCCCCGACGCCCAUGAAGGGCCGGCUGGGCUGCAGCCGCUCCCGGGGUAUGCGGAGGAGGUUGAAGGUCUCGACUGAGAGCACAUUGAGGCCCGCGCCACCGUCGAUGAGGGUCCUGGUGACAGCCACCUGGCAGAUGGUGGGGGUGCACAGCAUGGGGAGCGCACCCGAGCAGGCCGAGUUGGAGGGGUGGUCCUCCGAGCUGAAGGCUAGCCGGGCCUGCGGCUCUGACUGGUCCCGGGGAGUCCCCUGCCGCAUGGAGGCGGCGCCGACCCGGCGGAUGAACAGCUUGACAUGGUGACUGGAGGGCGGCGCCUGCGAGCCGCCCAGGAGGGCCGCGACGACCGGGGAGGCUGGCGCGGCGUGGUGGGCGAGGAAGAGGUCGCGCGGCUUUUCCCAAGAGGCCACAGAGGGACGCAGGGGCAAUACCUGCUGCUCGUUCCCCACCGAGCCGGUGGCGGUGUUGACGGCAGGCAACGGGGAAUGACGAGGGCGUCCACCGACGGGAGCCGUCUGGGCGACUCGAGCGGCGAGAGCAGCCCGACGAGCGUCAGACAUGGAUGCGACGGUCGGAGAAGAGCAGGGCAACGGAAGGCGAAUUCCGGCGCACCCCUACCUGGCGCGCCAAAUGUCGGAUUUCGGGUUCCGGCAGACCCUUGAGGUUCGAACACUGGGGUGCGCGCGGAGAUUAUGCCCUCCACCUACCUGUUCCUCGCCGAAUCGCUAGGAUCUAAACUACGAAAGGAUCAACACAAGAGACACAGGGUUUAUACUGGUUCAGGCCACCAUUGUGGUGUAAUACCCUACUCCAGUGUGUGGUGUGGUGGAUUGCCUCUUGGGCUGAUGAUGAACAAUACAAGGAAGAACAACCUCGCGAGGGUCUGUUCUUUACUGGUGCGAUGAACACCUAGGAGGAGUUUAGUCGCCCUAUCUCUCUCUCUUUCUAUUCUAGAUGUAUGCCAGAUACCAGAUGAUCCUCUACCCUGGGGGUGGCUAGUCCUAUUUAUAGGCAAAGGCCCUGGGCCUCUUCCCAAAUAUUGAGAGGGAAGGGCGCCAACAAUUGGCCAUUUUGAAGGGGAACAACGGGUACACUUAUCCUGACUAAAGUUGGUCCUCGCCUGUCAAAGGCUCUGGUGGUGACGCCGGCUUGGGCUCCACGGUGACCUCCAUCCUGCCGUUGGACUGGUCUUGGUCUUGUUGCACUGAAAUAGAUACCUUUGCUUGAUGCUCUCGCCUGCGCUUGCUCCCCUUGCACCAAAGAGGAAAGGAGGACACUGCGCGGGCUGGCGCUCGACUGGCGCCCUUGGUCGUCAUGGCUUGCGUCAUGGGCACCUCGUGAGGUACCCUGCCUUGAACUCUCCGCCUCCUCGUGAGCCAGCCUGAUGAGGCCGUGCCUGAGGAAGCUCCUUUCGUCCGCCCCGCGAGGCUUGGCCCCUCGCGAGGGUCUUGAGCUUGUGUUGAUGAAGAUGGGUCGUGCUGGGCCCCCUUUGAGCCACGCCGCAGGCCGCAGGCCGGCAAGUCUGGGGACCCCCAUUCCCAGAACGCCGACAGGAACCCCUUGUGGCUGAAGGAGAAGGACAAUGCUCCACUCAAGUGGAGCCAUUGAAGGAAAUAUGCCCUCGAGGCAAUAAUAAAGUUAUUAUUUAUUUCCUUAUUUCAUGAUAAAUGUUUUUUAUGCAUGCUAGAACUGUAUUAACCGGAAACUUAGUACAUGUGUGAAUACAUAGACAAAAGUAGUGUCCCUAGUAUGCCUCUACUUGACUAGCUUGUUAACCAAAGAUGGUUAUGUUUCCUAACCAUAGAUAUGUGUUGUCAUUUGAUGAACGGGAUCACAUCAUUAGGAGAAUGAUGUGAUGGACAUGACCCAUCCGUUAGCUUAGCAUUAUGAUUGUUACAGUUUCAUUGCUACUGCUCUCUUCAUGACUUAUACAUGUUCCUCAGACUAUGAGAUUAUGCAACUCCCGAAUACCGGAGGAACACUUUGUGUGCUACCAAACAUCACAACAUAAAUGGGUGAUUAUAAAGGUUCUCUACAGGUAUCUCCGAAGGUGUUUGUUGGGUUGGCGAAAAUCGAGAUUAGGAUUUGUCACUCCGUGUUUCGGAGAGGUGUCUCUGGGCCCUCUCGUUAAUACUCAUCACUAUAAGCCUUGCAAGCAUUGUGACUAAUGGGUUAGUUGCGGGAUGAAGUAUUACAAAACGAGUAAAGAGACUUGCCGGUAAUGACAUUGAACUAGGUAUGAUGAUACUAACAAUCGAAUCUCGGGCAAGUAACAUACCGAUGACAAAGGGAACAACGUAUGUUGUUAUGCGGUUUGAUCGAUAAAGAUCUUCGUAGAAUAUGUAGGAGCCAAUAUGAGCAUCCAGGUUCCGCUAUUGGUUAUUGACCGGAGAUGUGCCUCGAUCAUGUCUACAUAGUUCUCGAACCCGUAGGGUCCGCACGCUUAACAUUCGAUGAUGAUUUGUAUUAUGAGUUAUGUGAUUUGAUGACCAAAGUUUGUUCGGAGUCCCAGUUGAGAUCACGUACGUGAUUAGGAGUCUCGAAAUAAUUGAGACGUAAAGAUCGAUAUAUUGGAAGGCUAUAUUCGGACAUCAGAAAGGUUCUGAGUGAUUCGGGUAUUUUUUGGAGUACCGGAGAGUUAUGGGAAUUCGCCGGGGGAAGUAAUGGGCCUUAAUGGGCCAUACGGGAAAGGAUAGAAGGGCCUCAAGGGGUGGCCGUGCGCCCCCCCAUGGGCUGGUACGAAUUGGACUAGGAGGGGGCGGUGCCCCCCUCCUUCCUUCUCCCAUCUUCUUCCUUCACUCCUUAUCCUACUAGGAAUAGGAAAGAGGAGGGGAAUCCUACUUGGACUGGGGAGUCCUAGUAGGAUUCCCCACACCUAGCGCCGGCCACCUCUUCCCUCCCCUCCUUUAUAUACGUGGCCAGGGGCACCCCAUAGACACACAAGUUGAUCAAGUUGAUCUUUUAGCCGUGUGCGGUGCCCCCUCCAUAGAUUUCCACCUCAGUCAUAUCGUCGUAGUGCUUAGGCGAAGCCCUGCACCGGUAACUUCAUCAUCACCGUCACCACGCCGUCGUGCUGAUGGAACUCUCCCUCGGCCUCAGCUGGAUCUAGAGUUCGAGGGACGUCACCGAGUUGAACAUGUGCAGAUCGCGGAGGUGCCAUGCAUUCGGUACUUGAUCAGUUGGAUCGCGAAGACGUUCGACUACAUCAACCACGUUACAUAACACUUCCGCUUUCGGUCUACGAGGGUACGUGGACACACUCUCCCCUCUCAUUGCUAUGCAUCACAUAGAUAGAUCUUGCGUGAUCGUAGGAUUUUUUUUUGAAAUUACCGCGUUCCCCAUCAGCCAUCACCUACGCUAGACCCACACGCUUCCGAAGAACAAAAUGAAGGCCCUCAACCCAAUGAGCAAGAUCAAGGGCAAGAUCAACUCCACGGAGAUGAUGAUGUACUAAAUGAUGCCCAAGAUCAACUUCAUGCCUCCGAGCUCGCUCGAUACCAAGAGCAAGCUCAAUGUCAAGAGCAAGCUCAAGACGGUGCUCAAGAUCAAGAGCAAGCUUAAGAUCAAGAGCAAACUCAAGACGGUUCUCAAGAUGUGCAAGAUGAUCCUCAAAUGCCCAUUGAUGAACUUUUGGAGCACUGUGCCGCUAAGGUGGCUUCUAAGCUCGAGCAUCAACAACAUGUCAUGGAGAAUGUGGUUGGAAGCUUGAUAAAAGGGGUAAUUACUCGUAAACAAUUGUCAAACUUUUGUGAGCAUCACGCGUUUGUUUCGUGUGUUGAACCCCAAAAGGUACAUGAGGCGCUCGAUGAUGAGGAUUGGCUUGAAGCAAUGCACGAUGAACUCAACAACUUUGAGCGCAAUCAAGUUUGGGAAUUAGUGCCAGGACCAACAGAGGAACAUAAUGUCAUUGGAACCAAAUGGAUCUUCAAGAACAAGCAAGAUGCAAAUGGUGUGGUUGUCCAAGACAAUGCAAGAUUGGUGGCACAAGGCUACUCCCCAGUUGAGGGUAUCGACUAUGGUGAAACCUUUCCUCCCAUUGCUCGUCUUGAAUCUAUUCUCAUAUUGCUUGCUUAUGCAUGUCAUCAUGACUUUAAAUUGCAACAAAUGGAUGUGAAAAGUGCAUUUCUUAUUGGUCCUUUGAAUGAGUUGGUGUAUGUCAAACAACCUCCGAGAUUCGAGGAUCCCAAGUUCCCCACUCAUGUAUGCAAACUUAAUAAGGUGCUCUAUGGACUUAAACAAGCCCCACGUGCGUGGUAUGAGCACCUUACCGAGUUGUUGCAAAAUCAUGGGUUUGAAAUUGGGAAAAUUGAUCCCACUCUUUUUACUAAGAGGGUCAAAGGGGAUUUUUUCAUAUGUCAACAAUAUGUUCAUGAUAUUAUCUUUGGUUCUCCUAACAAAUCUUUCAAUGAUGAGUUUGCCGCACUAAAGACCAAGAAGUAUGAGAUGUCUAUGAUGGGAGAGCUGAAGUUCUUUCUCGGGUUUGAAGUCAAGCAAAGAAGAGAAGGAACAUUCAUCAACCAAGCCAAGUAUACCCAAGACAUGCUCAAGGGAUUCAAGCUAGAUCAUGUCAAGCCGGUCAAGUUCCCCAUGCCAACCAAAUGCAAGCUUGACAGUGAUCCCAAUGUUAAAGCGGUGGAUCAAAAGGUAUAUUGUUCCAUGAUUGGAUCCUUGCUUUACCUUUGUGCAUCUAGACUAGAUAUCAUGUUGAGUGUGGGAAUUUUUUCACGGUUUCAAGCCACACCUAAGGAAAGCCACUAUGUGGCGGUCAAGCGAAUCUUUUGAUAUUUGGCUUGCUACGUCUUGAGCUUGCGUUGGUUUUCCUUGAAGAGGAAAGGGUGAUGCAGCAAUAGUAGCGUAAGUAUUUCCCUCAGUUUUUGAGAACCAAGGUAUCAAUCCAGUAGGAGGCUCCUGAAAAGUCCCACGCACCUACACAAACAAACAAAGAACUCGCAACCAACGCAAUAAAUGGGUUGUCAAUCCCUUCACGGCCACUUGCGAAAGUGAGAUCUAAUAAAGAUAGUAUGAUAAGAUAAAUAUAUUUUUGGUAUUUUAUAAUAUAGAUGCAAAAAGUAAAGAUGCAAAACUGGACUUGCACCCCUAGUUACACAAAAGUGCAAGCACAGAAGCGGAUGACCAAACCUUACCAACAUACUCAAAAAAGUAUUCUAUACUGGGGUCUGUGCUCUUGACAAGCAGUGUUUCCAGUCUAGCUAUGUCAAAUCGGGUGUAAAGUAGAUUGGAAGCAAAUAUGAUAAGAGAUAGACCCGGGGGCCAUAGGUUUCACUAGUGGCUUCUCUCAAGAUAACAUAAGUAUUACAGUGGGUGAACAAAUUACUGUCGAGAAAUUGAUAGAAAAGCGAAUAAUUAUGAGAUUAUGUAGGCAUGAUCAUGUAUAUAGGCAUCAUGUCCAUAACAAGUAGACCGACUCGUGCCUCUACUACUAUUACUCCACACAUCGACCGACUCAUGCCUGCAUCUAGAGUAUUAAGUUCAUAAGAAUAGAGUAACGCAUUAAGCAAGAUGACAUGAUGUAGAGGGAUAAACUCAAGCAAUAUGAUAUAAAUCCCAUCUUGUUAUCCUCGAUGGCAACAAUACAAUACGUGCCUUGCAACCCUUUCGGUCACUAGGUAAGGACACCGCAAGAUUGAACCCAAAGCUAAGCACUUCUCCCAUGGCAAGACAGAUUAAUAUAGUAGGCCAAACAAAACUGAUAAUUCGAAGAGACUUGCAAAGAUAACUCAAUCAUACAUAAAAGAAUUCAGAGAAGAUUCAAAUAUUAUUCAUAGAUAAACUUGAUCAUAAACCCACAAUUCAUCGGAUCUCGACAAACACACCACAAAAAGAGUUUACACCGAAUAGAUCUCCACAAGAGAGGGGGAGAACAUUGUAUUGAUCCAAAAAGAGAGAAGAAUCCAUCUAGCUAAUAACUAUGGACCCGUAGGUCUGUGGUAAACUACUCACAACUCAUCGGAGGGGCAAGGAUGUUGAUGUAGAAGCCCUUCGUGGUAGAUUCCCCCUUCGGCAGAAUGCCGGCGAAGGCUCCAAGAUGGGAUCUCGCGGAUACAGAAGGUUACAGUGGUGGAAAUUGUGUUUCGGGUGCUCCAUGGAUGUUUUUGGGGUAUGUAGGCUUAUAUAGGAGGAAGAAGUACGUCGGUGGACGCCCGAGGGGCCCACGAGACAGGGGGGCGCCCUAAGGGGGGGGGGCGCCCUCCUAUCUCGUGGGAGCCUCUGCUGCUUCUUGACUUGCACUCCAAGUCCUCUGGAUCACGUUCAUUCCAAAAAUCACGCUCCCGAAGGUUUCAUUCCGUUUGGACUCCGUUUGUUAUUCCUUUUCUUCGAAAUACUGAAAUAGGCAAAAAAAGAGCAAUACAGGCUGGGCCUCUGGUUAGCAGGUUAGUCCCAAAAAUGAUAUAAAUGUGUAAAAUAAAACCCAUAAACAUCCAAAAGGGGUAAUAUAAUAGCAUGGAACAACAAAAAAUUAUAGAUACGUUGGAGACGUAUCAAGCAUCCCCAAGCUUAAUUCCUGCUCGUCCUCGAGUAGGUAAAUGAUAAAAAAGAAAUUUUUGAUGUGGAAUGCUACCUAGCAUAAUUCUCAAUGUAAUUUUCUUUAUUGUGGCAUGAAUGUUUAGAUCCAAAUGAUUCAAGAUAAAAGCUUAUAAAACAUAAAAAUAGUAAUGCUUCAAAGCAUAAUAACAAAUAAUCAUGUCCUAUCAAAAUAGCAUAGCCAAAGAAAGCUUAUCCCUACAAAAUCAUAUAGUUAGGCCAUGCUUCAUUUUCAUUACACAAAAUGCUCCCAUCAUGCACAACGCCGAUGACGAGCCGAGCAAUUGUUUCAUACUUUUUAACGCGCUUCAGCUUUUUCAACUCUUACGCAAUAUAGGAGCUCAAGCCAUGGACAUAGCACUAUGGUGGUAUAUGGUGGUUGUGAGGACAAAAAGGGAGAAGAUAGUCUCACAUCAACUAGGCAUAUUAACGGGCUAUGGAGAUGCCCAUUAAUAGAUAUCAAUGUGAGUGAGUAGGGAUUGCCAUGCAACAGAUGCACUAGAGCUAUAAAUAUAUGAAAGCUCAACAAAAAGAAACUAAGUGGGUGUGCAUCCUACUCGCUUGCUCACGAAGACCUAGGGCAUUUUGAGGAAGCCCAUCAUUGGAAUAUACAAGCCAAGUUCUAUAAUGAAAAAUUCCCACUUAGUAUAUGAAAGUGACAACAUAGGAGACUCUCUAUCAUGAAGAUCAUGGUGCUACUUUGAAGCACAAGUGUGGAAAAAGAGAUAGUAGCAUUGUCCCUUCUCUCUUUUCCUCUCAUUUAUUUUUUCCCUUUUUUUUCUUUUUUUCUUUGGACUUUCUUUUUUCUUUCUUUCUGGCCUUUCUCUCUUUUCUUUUUCUUUUUUUUUCUUUCUCUUUUUUUGUAAAGUCCGAAGUCUCAUCCCGACUUGUGGGGGAAUCAUAGUCUUCAUCAUCCUUUCCUCACUGAGACAAUGCUCUAAUAAUGAAGAUCAUCACACUUUUAUUGAUUUACAACUCAAAAAUUACAACUUAAAGCUAGAACAAGAUAUGACUCUAUAUGAAUGCCUCCGGCGGUGUACCGGGAUAUGCAAUGAAUCAAGAGCGACAUGUAUGAAAAUUAUGAAGGUGGCCUUGCCACAAAUACGAUGUCAACUACAUGAUCAUGCAAAGAGCAAUAUGAAAAUGAUGGAACGUGUCAUAAUAAACGGAACGGUGGAAAGUUGCAUGACAAUAUAUCUUGGAAUGGCUAUGGAAAUGCCAUAAUAGGAAGGUAUAGUGGCUGUUUUGAGGAAGGUAAAUAAAAGAUUUAUGAUACCGGCGAAAGUUGCGCGGUAAUAAUAAAGGCUAGCAAAGCGGAAGGGUGAGUGUGCGUAUAUCCAUGGACUCACAUUAGUCAAAAAGAACUCAUAUACUUAUUGCAAAAGUCUACUUAGCCCUCGAAGCAAAGUACUACUACGCAUGCCCUAAGAGGGAUAGAUUGGUAGGAAAAUACCAUCGCUCAUCCCCGACUACCACUCAUAAGGGAGACAAUCAAAAGAGUACCUCAUGCAACAAAUUUGUCACACAACUUUUAUCAUACGUGCAUGCUACGGGACUUGCCAACUUCAACAAAAGUAUUUCUCAAUUUCAUAAUUACCCACUAGCAUGACCCUAACAUUACCACCUUUAUAUCUCAAAACAAUUAUCAAGCAUCAAAUUGAUCAUAGCAUCCAAUUCUCCUCCUAUGAUAGUUUUUAUUAUACCCAACUUGGAUGCUCAUCAUUUUAGGACCAACUUUGUGACCAUAGCAACAACCAUGCUGUUCUAAAAGGCUCUCAAAAGGAUAUAAGUGAAGCAUGAGAGACUAGCAAUUUCUUCAAAAAUAAGCCACCGCCGUGCUGUAAAAGGUAUAAGUGAAGCACUAGAGCAAAAACUAUCAAGCUCAAAAGAUAUAAGUGAAGCACAUAGAGUAUUCUAGCAAAUUCUAAUCAAAUAGGCUUCUCCCAAAAGUUGUGUACAGCAAGGAUGAUUGUGGUGAACUAAAAAGCAAAGACUAAUAUAAUACACGACGCUCCAAGCAAAACACAUAUCAUGUGGCGAAUAAAAAUAUAGCUCCAAGUAAAGUUACCAAUGAACGAAGACGAAAGAGGGGAUGCCUUCCAGGGGCAUCCCCAAGCUUAGGAUUUUGGCUAUUAUUGAAUAUCUUGGGGUGCCAUGGGCAUCCCCAAGCUUAGUCUCUUGCCAUCGUUUAUUCCAUAGUUCAUAAAAGCUUUACGCAAAACUUGAAAACUUCACGACACAAAACUCAACAAGAAAUCUUAUAAGCUCCGUUAGUGAAAGAAAACAAAACCACCACAUAAGUUAAUGCAAUGAACUCAUUAUUUAUUUAUAUUGGUGUUAAACCUACUGUAUUCCAACUUCUUUAUGGUUUAUAAACUAAUUUACUAGCCAUAGAUGCAUUGAAAUAAGCAAAUAACACACGAAAAACAGAAUCUGUCAAAAACAGAAUAGUCUGUAGCAAUCUGUAACUAACACAAACUUCUGGAACUCUAAAAAUCCUAACAAAAUAGGAAGUCCUGUACAAAUUGUUUAUUGAACAGAAGCAAAAAGAAUCAACGCAAAAUCACGUUCCUGUGAUUUAACAAAUUAUAUUCGUGCGUGCAAAGUUUCUGUUUUUCAGCAGAAUCAAAUCAACUAUCAUCAUAGGUUAUCCUAUAGGUUCUACUUGGCACAAACACUAAUUAAAAGAUAAAAGCACAUCUAUCCAGAAGGUAGAUGCAAGAUUUAUUACUAAACAGGAGCAAAAACAAAAAGCAUAAAUAAAAAAUUGAGUUGCCUCCCAACUAGCGCUAUCGUUUAACGCCCCUAGCUAGGCAUAAAAACAACGAAAUAUGUAUUUGGCAACCCUGUGCCCGAUUGCAAAAACGACCACACGUACUGAGAACGCUUCGAUCGUGAUCACGCGGCUGCUGGCGAUCUGCACAGGAGAAGAAGGAAAACUGACAGGAGCCUUAUCUCCUCGCUCGCACCCAUUUCCUCUCCUACCUAGCUCCGCCGUCGUCACGCACCCAACUCCUCCCCUUCUCUCGGCCGGCGCCGUCCCGCCCCCAUCUCCUCCCGGGCUUCUGCCGUGCCGCGACGGCCGAUCCGGUGCACAACCGCCGUCAGCCUCCUGUCGCACGACCGCCGCGUCCAUGCCCACCGCCGCUGCUCUCUAUCCCCAACCUUCCACCAUCUCCUCGACUCCACAAGUCAUCGUCGGUCCAACCCCGCGCGUCGUGUGCCUCCGCCACCUCUGACCACCGCCGCCGCUCAUCAAAUGGAAGAUCCACCGUCGCUGCCUACUACAUCGACAGGUGAGCUUAUGGUGAGUGCCUCCUUUGACCAUUCCGAGGAAAGUUUCCACUGGCGCAAUCAUCCUCUUUUCUCUCUCAGUUUUGUUCAAACAAUAUAGCAUUGAAUCAGUUACUAUGGAAAUUGAAAAAUUCCUUCUCUGAAGUCCUAGUUUGAUGGACAGAAGUCUUCAAAAAUUCUAAAUUGUCAUCUAUUUUUGUCAUGGUAUGAGUGCCCUCAACUUGUUUGUAAUUAUACCUAUGAGACUGAAUAAAUUAUUUUCAAUUGUAUGUGUAUGUGACAGGUUCCUGAUCAUGGUGCCAUAAUUGCGCUCAUCCUCUAUGGGGUCCAUCAGAACUGAAGUGCAUUGCUCGAUCAACCCAUUUGGUUGCUAUUCUUAAAUUGUGUGAUAUGUGGUAAUCGAAUGUACAUCACCAAUGGCCUGAGAUUGACAUCGACGUGCACUGUUUCAGCUACAUAUCAUGAAAGGGCCUCAAGACCUUCCGAAAGCUGCACAAACAUGGCGUCAUCGAUCUUGGGGCUGACCAUUCAGGUACUUUUGUUUCCUUCUGUUCUUGGCCUUGAGACCAGUUGACAUGAGGAGUAUUUUGUUCCGAGGAAGUAUAAAGUCUGAACCUUAUAACUUACAGUGUCAGCUUGGUCACUUCUAGUGGGUCAGCAUGAUAACGAUCACUUUGCUAACCUGUCUAACUCAUUUUAUUUUUCAGCAUAGUAAUUCAAUUACUUCCACCUGAUAAUUCAUAUUGAUUUAGCUUGAUAAAUUAUAUCGUGCCAAUAGUUUAACUCGAACCGCUUUGAAUACUUAUUCUUUUUUAUUUUAACCAGAUAACUUAUGAAACUUCAGCCUGAUAACUUGUGAUGUAUCAAAAUGUUUAACUCUAACUGGUUUGAACACUCAUGUUUUAACUUCAACUUGAUGACUUAUGCGGCUUGAACCUGAUAAUUUAUAGUAUGUCGGCCUGAAUAAAUUCUAGUGUGUCAACAUGGUAAGAAUCACUUUGUUAGCCCAUUUAACUAAUUUUAUUUUUUUCAACAUGGUGACUUGAAAUUUUUUUGAUUGAUAAUUCAUAUUGUUUUAGCCUGAUAAUUUAUACUGUGUCAGCAUUUUUAAUCCGAUCUGCUUUGAACAGUUUUUUUACUUUCAACCCGAUAAUUAUGCAAACUGAGCAUGAUAACAAUAUGCCAGCUUGAUAACUUUGAAGUGUCACCACAUUUAACUCACACUUUGUCAACAUGUUGAACUCAUUCUAUUUUUUGGCAUGGUAACUUCAUUUUAGCAUGAUAAUUUAUGAUGUGUCAGCACAAUAACUUGUAUUUGUUUUGGCCGAUAACUUUGUAUUGUUUCGACCUGAUAAACCACAUUUCUCUUUAUCUUAUCAGAUGGCGGAGAGCCUCAUUAACACGGGCUUCUCCAACUGCCGGAUGGCCAUCCGCCAACAUUCCUUCAUGCUCGUUGUAGUCACCCGCUCCGAGUCGCUCAACCUUAGGGCAGCCAUCGGCGCCACCAAGCUCGCCAGCACGCUCGUCUCGCUAGACGGCGCCAUGGUGAUCACCUUCUACACAGGUGUGGUCUUCAGCUUCAUCCAGGUCACCGUGCAGGGCAACCUCGCCGGCUAGACCAUCUCCAGCAAGUUCCAGAUCAUCACUUUCAUGUACUCCGUAAGAAACCAACCAACCAUCAUGCUUUUGAAUUGCUUGCUACAUUAUGCACAACAUGGCUUGCCGCUGAUCGACUUUGAUUGAUUUUACCUGAAUUCGGGUUGUGGUCGCGUCUGGCAUGUCCUUCGUGAUGAUGCAUUCCUCCAUGAUGUUGACAUGGUGCAUCGACCCAUGACCUAGCCUCUUCAGUGGGAAAUUCUGACCACGCUAACCAGGUAAGCUACAUCAUGCUUGUGCUAAGAUUGACCAAUCCAUGUUGCUGUUCAUUCAUGGAACUAGUGAAUCAAAAAACAAAAUCACAGAAGACCCAAAACUCAUGGAAUCGACCCAUAGAUUAUAUAAAAAUAGCAUGUGGUUGUUGAAAAACAUACUCUGGAUAACUUAUAUAAAAAUAGCAUGGUAAUAUAUGAGCAACAUACUUGAUAACGUAGGUCAAACACCACGGUAACUCUGUCCAAGGAGGGGAACAAGUUGUUGAAAAACAUAGUCCCAGUAACUUAUGUGAAAAUAGCAUAUUAAUAAAUGAACCGAUACUCGAUAACAUGCAUACAAACACCACGAUAACUUUGAACAGUGGAAAAAUGUUAUUGAAAAUAUACCCUUGGUAGCUUUUGUGAAAAAAACAUGAUAAUAUAUGAACCAUAUACCUGAUAACUUAGGUAUAAAUACCAUGGUAAAUUUGACCAAGAAGGGGAAAAAGUUCUUGAAAAACAUACUCCUAAUAACUUAUGUGAAAAUAACACGGUAAUGUAUGAACCGCAUACCCGAUAAGUACGUAUAAACACCGUGAUAACUUCGAGCAAGGAGGGGGGAAAGUUACUGAAAAAUGUACCCCUAGUAAAUUAUGUGAAAAUAGCACGGUAAUACAUGAGCCGCAUACCCGAUAAGUUACUUACAAACACCAUGGUAAAUUUGAUCAAAGGGGAAAAUAUUAAAAAAACAUACGCCGGUUACUUAUGUGAAAAUAGCACGGUAAUAUACAAACCACAUACCUGAUAACUUACAUAAGACACAGCGUUAAAUUUAACCAAGGGUGAAAAGGUUGUUGAAAAAUACCCCUCAUUAACUUCUAUGUAAAUAAAAUGGUAAUAUACGACCAACAUAGUUGAUAACUUAGGUGAAAAUAUUGUGGUAAUUUGCAUCUAAAAAGGAGGGAAGGGGAUGAUCGGGUUUGUGAACCAUGUGAACCGGCGUGAAACAUGUAGGAAAAAUGAUGGAACUAGGGCAUAUAGUCCUAAAACCCGGACAAGUGAGGCCACUGGUUUGGAUUUUCAGUUAUUGACCGCUGUCUUUUUUUUUCAAUCUCGUCUCAGGAAGAUACAAUUUCUAUGUAACUCUUGUAGAAUCAGCAAAGGGAGCUAGAUCAGCUGGUUGUUGUUGUUGUUACAUUUAGUACGGUAGGUUGUGGGUUCGAUCCUCUUGUAAGGCCUGUGUUUUUGCCUUUUUUUAAACUGCAGAUAGUGCGGGUGCAGCGACCCAGAAAACUGGGGAGAGCACGCAACCUCAUGUGCGGGGAGGAGAAAAUCGGAUCGAAGGAGGGGGUUCGUUCGGGAGGUGCGGUACUUUUGCAAUCUGCCACAUGGUUGACAGUUAUCACAAUCCUAAAAACAAAGAUGGAUCUAAUGAGUGCCAUCUUUGGCACUAAAUUCAUAAGUAGCACGCAUGAUAGAUUCAUAAGGUAAUUUGACUUUCUUUCUUGGAAAGUGCUCCAUGCCUUUCUUUAAUGGAAAUUGGAAUCUAAUGUUCCCUUCCUUCAUAUCAAUAAUCGCACCAAUCGUUCUAAGGAAAGGUCUACCAAGAAUAAUAGGGCAAGAAAGAUUGCAAUCUAUAUCAAGAACGAUAAAAUCUACGGGCACCAAAUUUCUAUUUGCAAUGAUAAGAACAUCAUUGAUCCUUCCCAUAGGCUUUUUAAUGGUGGAAUCCGCAAGGUGCAAAUUUAAAGAGCAAUCAUCAAGAUCAUGGAAACCUAGAAUAUCACAUAGGGUUUUCGGAAUCGUGGAAACACUAGCACCCAAAUCACACAAAGCAAAACACUCAUCAUCUUUAAUUCUAAUCUUUAUAGUAGGUUCCCACUCAUCAUUAAGUUUUCUAGGUAUAGAAACUUCCAAAUUAAGUUUUCAUCAUAAGAUUGCAUCAAGGCAUCAACAAUAUGUUUGGUAAAAGCUUUAUUUUGACUAGAAGCAUGAGGAGAAUUAACAACGGAUUGCAACAAGGAAAUACAACCUUUUAAAGAGCAAUUAUCAUAAUCAAAUUCCUUGAAAUCUGAGAUAGUAAGUUCAAUAUUAUUAGAAGUAGAGGAUUCUCCAAUCUCACUUUUACCAAUUUUAGCAUCAAGAUCUAAAGACUCCAAUUUUUGGGACGCCUUCUAGGCAAAGUUGAUUCAUCAUCACCCCAUAAUCAUCAAAAUUCAUAUUGCAAAACAUAGAUCUAAUCGGAGACGCAUCAAUAAAUUUAAGAUCCUCAUCAUUAUUUUCACGGAGACUAGAGGAACACGCUUUUACAAAGCUUUCUUUUUUAGCACGCAAUCUAGCGGUUCUUUCCUUGCACUCAUCAAUGGAAAUUCUCAUUACUUUGAGAGACUCACUGAUAUCAUGUUUAGGAGAAGAAGAUCCAAGUUUAAGAGAGUUAACAUCAAGCGAAAGUCUAUCAACGUUCCUAGCCAAAUCAUCAACUUUGAGCAAUUUUUCUUCAAGCAAAGCAUUAAAAUUCUUUUGAGAAAUCAUAAACUCUUUCACACUAUUCUCAAAAUCAGAGGGCAACUAAUUAAAAUUACCAUAAGAAUUAUUGUAGGAAUUUCCAUAAUUAUUAGAGGGAUUACUAGGGAAAGGUCUAGCAUUAAAAUUUCCUCUAUAAGCAUUGUUUCCAAAACUAUUCCUACCAAAAAAAAUUCACAUCCAUAGAUUCAUUAUUAUUCUCAAUCAAGGAAGACAAAGGCAUAUCAUUGGGAUCAAGAGGAGUAUUUUUAGUAGCAAACAUCUUCAUAAGUUCAUCCAUCUUUCCACUCAAAACAUUGAUUUCUUCUAUAGCAUGCACUUUUUUACUAGAAGAUCUUUCGGUGUGCCAUUGGGAAUAAUUAGCCAUAAUAUUAUCAAGCAAUUUUGUAGCAUCUCCUAACGUAAUUUCCAUAAACAUGCCUCCCGCGGCCGAAUCUAAGAGAUUUCUAGAAGCAAAGUUCAAACCGGCAUAAAAAUUUUGUAUGAUCAUCCAUAAAUUUAAACCAUGAGUAGGGCAAUUACGAAGCAUCAAUUUCAUUCUUUCCCAAGAUUGGGAAACAUGCUCAUGAUCAAGUUGUUUAAAAUUCAUAGUAUCGUUCCUAAGAGUGAUGAUCUUAGAGGGAGGAAAAUACUUAGAGAUAAAAGUAUCUUUGCACUCUUUCCAAGAAUCAAUACUAUUUUUAGGCAAAGACGAAAACCAAACUUUAGCACGAUCUCUAAAUGAAAAUGGAAAUAACUUCAAUUUAACAAUAUCAUUAUCCGUAUCUUUCUUCUUUUGCAUAUCACACAAAUUAACAAAAUUGUUUAGAUGAGUAGCGACAUCUUCACUAGGAAGGCCAGCGAAUUGAUCUUUCAUAACAAGAUUCAGCAAAGCGGUAUUGAUUUCACAAGACUCAACAUCAUUAAGAGGAGCAAUUGGACUACUAAGGAAAUCAUUAUUAUUGGUAUUCGAGAAGUCACACAACUUGGUAUUAUCUUGUGCCAUGGCAACAAGUAAUCCAACACACAAGCAAACAGAAAAACGGCAAGCGAAAAAAAGAGAGGAGGAGAUUGGGAAAGAGAGGGCGAAUAAAACGGCAAGGGUGAAGGGGGGGAGAGGAAAACGAGAGGCAAAUGGCAAAUAAUGUAAAUGCGAGGGAGAUGGGUUUGUGAUGGGUACUUGGUAUGUCUUUACUUGAGCGAAGACCUCCCCGGCAAUGGCGCCAGAAAUCCUUCUUGCUACGUCUUGAGCUUGCAUUGGUUUUCCUCAAAGAGGAGAGGGUGAUGCAACAAAGUGUAGCGUAAGUAUUUCCCUCAGUUUUGAGAACCAAGGUAUCAAUCCAGUAGGAGGCUCCUCAAAAGUCCCACGCACCUACACAAAGAAACUAAGAACUCGCAACCAACGCAAUAAAGGGGUUGUCAAUCCCUUCACGGCCACUUGCGAAAGUGAGAUCUAAUAAAGAUAGUAUGAUAAGAUAAAUAUAUUUUUGGUAUUUUAUAAUAUAGAAGAAAAAAGUAAAGAUGCAAAUAAAGUAGAUGAAAAGCAAAUAUGAUAAGAGAUAGACCCGGGGGCCAUAGGUUUCACUAGAGGCUUCUCUCAAGAUAGCAUAAGUAUUACGGUGGGUGAACAAAUUACUGUCAAGCAAUUGAUAGAAAAGCGCAUAGUUAUGAGAUUAUCUAGGCAUGAUCAUGUAUAUAGGCCUCACGUCCAUAACAAGUAGACCGACUCCUGCCUGCAUCUAAUACUAUUACUCCACACAUCGACCGCUAUCCAGCAUGCAUCUAGAGUAUUAAGUUCAUAAGAACGGAGUAACGCAUUAAGCAAGAUGACAUGAUGUAGAGGGAUACACACAUGCAAUAUGAUAUAAACCCCAUCUUGUUAUCCUCGAUGGCAACAAUACAAUACAUGUCUUGCAACCCUUUCUGUCACUGGGUAAGAACACCGCAAGAUUGAACCCAAAGCUAAGCACUUCUCCCAUGGCAAGAAAGACAAAUCCAGUAGGCCAAACCAAACUGAUAAUUCGAAGAGACUUGCAAAGAUAACUCAAUCAUACAUAAAAGAAUUCAGAGAAGAUUCAAAUAUUAUUCAUAGAUAAACUUGAUCAUAAACCCACAAUUCAUCGGAUCUCGACAAACACACCACAAAGAGUUUACAUUGAAUAGAUCUCCACAAGAGAGGGGGAGAACAUUGUAUUGAGAUCCAAAAAGAGAGAAGAAGCCAUCUAGCUAAUAACUAUGGACCCGUAGGUCUGUGGUAAACUACUCACAACUCAUCGGAGGGGCAAGGAUGUUGAUGUAGAAGCCCUUCGUGGUAGAUUCCCCCUCCGGCAGAAUGCCGGCAAAGGCUCCAAGAUGGGAUCUCACGGAUACAGAAGGUUACGGUGGUGGAAAUUGUGUUUCGGGUGCUCCAUGGAUGUUUUUGGGGUAUGUAGGCUUAUAUAGGAGGAAGAAGUACGUCGGUGGACGCCCGAGGGGCCCACGAGACAGGGGGCACGCCCUAAGGGGGGGGGGGGCGCCCUCCUAUCUCGUGGGAGCCUCGGCUGCUUCUUGACUUGCACUCCAAGUCCUCUGGAUCACGUUCGUUCCAAAAAUCACGCUCCCGAAGGUUUCAUUCCGUUUGGACUCCGUUUGUUAUUCCUUUUCUUCGAAAUACUGAAAUAGGCAAAAAAAGAGCAAUACAGGCUGGGCCUCUGGUUAGCAGGUUAGUCCCAAAAAUUAUAUAAAUGUGUAAAAUAAAGCCCAUAAACAUCCAAAAGGGGUAAUAUAAUAGCAUGGAACAAUAAAAAAUUAUAGAUACGUUGGAGACGUACCAAAGUGCUAUCAAGAUCUCUCUCAACCCGGUGCAACAUAGCAAGACAAAGCAUAUUGAGAUACGUCAUCAUUUUAUUCAGGAUCACAUCAAGCGGGGAGAUAUUGAUAUCAUCUACAUCACAACUCAAGAGCAACUAGCGGAUAUUUUCACCAAGCCUCUAGAUGAAGCAAGAUUUCAUGAGUUAAGGCAUGAGCUAAAUAUCAUUGAUUUGAGCAAUGUGGCUUGAAUCUAGGCACUUCCCACCGCACUCAUCAUAUCUUGUUCUAGAUGUAGGCAUGGACAUAGGGUGAGUGUUGUUCUCUCAAUGAACUCUUCCCUCCCCCCAUUAUGCAUAAAUCAAUCAAGUCUUUCACAUUAGCCAUUUUUAUGGUACUUGUGCUUCAAAGGCGAGUUUUGGUCAUGGGCCCAAGGUUAAAAUCUUUGGGUACCAUUUGACUCAAACAUAGGUGGCCUAGGCCACCGCCCUCUCCUUGGGAGGUGUUUUUUUUCUUUUUCUCUAGUUGUUUUGUGUUUUAGGUGUGCCAUGUUUCUUGUCUCUCCUUGGGUGCCUCUCUGGCUCUUUGUUGUGUUUUGCUCCUUGAGUUGCACCCUCGUCUUGUCUUGUGUUUCUUUUUCUUGGAGCUAGGCCUAUUUUGUUUGCUGUCUUGUUAAGUUCUUGCUGGGCGGUACUACCACUCUGAAUGGACGGUACUACUGCUUAAUGGCACCAAGCGGUACUACCGCCCGCCAGAGCGGUACUACCGCUGCGAGGUAGGCCUAGGGGGUUAUGUUUCGGGCAGGGGGAGUUUCUCUCCCGCAUACCCAUUCGACUCGCCCCACUCGUUCCUCUCCUGCUCCAGCAAAGAACUCACCGCGGGAGGCUGUCUCCUGGACAUCCUUCUCCUUUCCCUAUAGUGGAAUCGAUCCCCACCCCUUCCUCUUGCCAUGGAUGCUGGUAUUGCCCCCGCUCUUCUUCUCUUUGUUUCUAGGUUUCGAAUCUAGGCUUUAUGGGCAAUAGUCUUUGCAUUUAUCGAUUUUUGGCCAAAUCGAGGCUUGAGUAGGUUGUUGAAGGAUGCUAGACUAGUUGGAUUGAUAUUUGGUAGGGGUAUUUUAGAGUUUGGCACCCCCGAUAGUACCAGAUUUGGCCGCGGAUGUAGUCAAACCGCAGUCCUCCGCCUCGAGCGGUACUACCGCUCCUCAGGAGCGGUACUAUCGCUUGAAGGUAGUAGGCGCUAUUCAUACCAAAUGUCGAUUUGUGUUGCUUUUUCUGUUGGCUUAUGCCCAUUUUCUCAUUUUUCUCGUGUUCUUGUGUUGGUUCCAGGUGAUGGCCCUUAGGAGCACCCUGUCCGUCGUGUCAACCCCGGGCGUUCUGUUUCAAAAUGCUAUCGCACUUCUGAGGCAGCGACUGCUUACUCAAGUGUUCCUCCACCGCAGCCCAAGAAGCAAAUUUUGAGCAAGCCCAAGCCGAGGACCAAGUAUGUGAUUGAGAUGACUGCCAAGGAGUUCUGGGAGAGGCGUCGGCGUAACCCAUCUGAGCAAGAUCAAGACCCACUCUUGUCAACCGCCCAUUAUGGAACCGAUUUCAGUGGGUUGUCUUCUUUGAUGUGCUCAAGGCAAAUAAUAAUCUCUAUGUUUGUAUCCACUCCAUCAACAUUGCCCAUUUGGAGAAAGAUCCUGCCUACUUUGGCAAAGCACUGCAGAUGUGUACUCAGUUGAAUAUUCUGAAGAUCAUGGAGUUCAACAAGGACUUUGAUGCAGAUUUGGUGGCUCAGUUUUAUGCCUCGGUCCAUCUUGGCACUGAUGUGGAAAGAACCUUGACUUGGAUGACAAAUGGCAAACUUCUCUCCAUCAAAUGGAAGGCGUUCAUGGAAUUGUUUGGGAUUGAAGAUCAAGAGCUUGAGAACCCGGUUGGCUUUCAUGCUCACCGGAAUGCAACUUCUAAUCACAAGCAAUCUCUCUGGCCUUACUGCACAUUGAAGAUUAACCCUGAGAUGCAGAAGGAGACUUACGAGCUGCCUCCUUUUCUGGACAUCAUUCAUCGCAUAUUCAGGGAGACUCUUUUCCCUCACAUUGGGAACUUGGAUAUGGCUCAUUCGUUCCUUGUGGACAUGCUACUUUUUUGCCAACAUGAGAAGGAAGAAAACACUAGAGAUUCCUUGGAUAUUUCUCAUGCCAUGUGGUCUGAGCUCGUCUCCGCCAUCUCUGAGCGCAAGUGCCCCAUCUAUGCUCCUUUUGUCAUGUUUCUUAUUUAGAAGGCAUGGGGGCACACUUAUCCUUGUGUAGUGUUGGGGACUGGUGAGUGUCUCUCACGAGGUUAAGCAUUUGAGAAAGAAGGAGCUCUGAGGCACUCCUAUUCCGAAGUCUGGGAUUCCGUCAGGUGCUGACGAGGUUGAGGCAGAGGCUGAUGCUAAUGACUAUGUGCCCUCUAGAGCAGAGCCCUCAUUGGCCAAGAAGCUCAAGCACAAGAUGAAGAAACUUUUCUGCAUGGAGUCUCAUAGGCAGUAUAUGGUUCAUGUGUUUGAGAAGAAGACCAUGAGCCGUCACAAGGAUCUCAUGCGUCGGUUUGCGGCUACAGUUAACAGUGGAUCUGAGGGCAAGAUCACCGAUGAGGAGGAGUGGAUUCAUUAGCACUGCCUUGGACAGACUCAGACACUAAGCAGACCUCUGCCGAUGACGGAGGCACGAGCGACCACGCGGGGUUGUGAUGAUGGAGAUCUUCAUCUUUGCUAUCACCUGUGACCGUAGCAGCACUCUUUGCCCUUUUGGUGUCUCGAUGCCAAAGGGGGAGAGAGUUUAGGGAUUUGUCGAGUUGCGAGUGUGUCUUAUUUGCCUUGUCUUUCUCUCUCGCAAACUCUUUUGUCGUCAUUUGCUUUGGUUUGGUUUGUGCUUGUGAGACCUGGUUACCCUAUCAUAUGGUGUGAGACAUAUGCUACCCUAUCUUAUUAUUAUCUAUGUAUGUCGAGUACUUUGGUAGUAUGUGAGUUGCAUGCUUAUCUGUUGUUUCUCUUUGCUCACUUACUACUCCCUUGCAUCCUAGGUUAUAUCUCUUUGUGUAUAGAUGCAUGUGUUGUCGGGCUAUAAAAUAUAGGGGGAGUGUUGAUCCUAAUGUGUGUACUUUGCAUUCCAAAGGCACUUCUGAGUAAGUGCACACAUCUAGGGGGAGCCCGUCUAUAUUUUGUAGUCUCUUGGGAGUCGCUUAUUCUCUUGUCAUUUCGUUAUGCAAAUCUCAUGUUGUCAUCAAUCCCCCAAAAAGGGGGAGAUUGUUAGGCAUGUCUCUCUCUAAGUGGUUUUGGUGAUUGAUGAAAAUGCAUUUGUAGACUAAUUGUGUACAUUGAGUAUUUCAGAGAUUCAUUCAUUGGCACGAGAUGAUUCAUUCCCCUCGGAGCUCAAAGUGAAGAUGGUGUAGUCACUUUCGGUUUGGCUUUGGUGGACUUGAGUCGUAGGAGACACCGUACUAUCAACAUGGGGGCCCGCAUCGGAAAGGCUAGGGUGGAAUCAACAUGUACACUUCAUUUUUGCACCCCCAGCUCCUUUCCUCUUCUUGGAGUUUACCAUUAUCUCGGAAGUGGGGCUUGUGAGGAGCCAGCGGUAGUACUGGUGAACUAGGGUAGUAGUACCGCUUAUGGCCCUCAAGCGGUAGUACCACUGUUUCAUAGCGGCAGUACUGCUCAUGCCCAUAAGCGGUAGCACUGCUCCUAUUUUACGCUGGUACCGCCUUGAUUCGAGGGUGUCUCCUCUGAUGUCGGGUUGGGAGUAGGAGCGGCAGCAGGCACGGUUGAAAGGAUCGAUAUGGUUGACUAGAGGGGGGGUGAAUAGGCAACUAACAUUUUUUAAGCUUUUCUUUAACAAUUUAAACCUUGCAACAAAAUAGGUUGUCUAGAUAUGCAACUACGUGGACAACCUAUAUGAUGCAAUGACAACUAGUACACAAGCAAGCAAUAGAUACAACACAAGUAAGCUUGCAAAAGUAAAGGCACGAAAUAACCAAGAGUGGAGCCGGUGAAGACGAGGAUGUGUUACCGAAGUUCCUUUCUUUUAAAGGGAAGUAUGUCUCCGUUAGAGCGGUGUGGAGGCACAAUGCUCACCAAGAAGCCACUAGGGCCACCGUAAUCUCCUCACGCCCUCACACAAUGCGAGAUGCUGUGAUUCCACUAUUGGUGCCCUUGAAGGCGGCGACCGAACCUUUACGAACAAGGUUGGGGCAAUCUCCACAACAAUUGGAGGCUCCCAACAACACCAUGAAGCUUCACCACAAUGGAGUAUGGCUUCGAGGUGACCUCAACCGUCUAGGGUGCUCAAACACCCAAGAGUAACAAGAUCCACUAGGGAUAAGUGGGGGGGAUCAAAUCUCUCUUGGUGGAAGUGUAGAUCGGAGCCUUCUCACCCAAUCCCGAGCAAAUCAACAAGUUUGAUUGGCUAGGGAGAGAGAUCGGGCGAAAAUGGAGCUUGGAGCAACAAUGGAGCUUAGAGAUGGAAGAGGUGGUCAACUAGAGGUAGGAGACACCCCUUAUAUAGUCAUGGAAAAGAUCCAACCGUUAUCCACAUAUUCAGCCUGUGACACGCGGUACUACCGCUCCAGGGGCGCUACCGCAAGGCCCCGCGGUACUACCCUGGAGGACCACGGUACUUCCGUGGCAGCAGCAGAGGCCGGGACUUGCCUGACUUAGGUGCAGUACUACCGCUUGCGCGGUACUACCGCUCCCCCUUGCGGUACUACCGCAAGGGAGGAAAGUCACUGCCUACAAAGAGCGCGGAUGAAAUAAAUUACAUCCGUGCCUACUUCCGCUGAAAAUGAGAUGGUGCAAAAAUCCGAUGCGGUACUACCGCGCACGAGGCGCGGUACUACCGUGGAGGCGCGGAUGUAAAAAAUUACAUCCGCUCCUACUACUGUGACGCCGCGGUACUAGGUAGGAGGGCCACGGUACUACGACUCCGGGGGAGCGGUACUACCGUGGGCUCCCGCGGUACUACCGCGCUGGACGAGCGGUACUACCGUGGGGGCGCGGAUGUAAAAAAUUACAUCCGCCCCUACUACCGUACUGGAGCGGCACUAGGCCUGGGAGCCAUGGUACUAAGGCUCCAGAGGAGCGGUACUACUGUGACCCACAUCGGUACUACCACGGGUGCUUGCGGUACUACCGCUCCAUAGAGCAGUACUACCGCAAGUACAGCAGUAGCCGUCUGAUUAUGCACAACUAGGAUAACGGAAAGAUGCUCCAAAGUGCAAGGAAAGGUAGGAUGUGUGUACAUGUUGAUUCCACCCAAACCUUUUCGACGCGGACCCCCUCUUAAUAGUACGGCUCUCCUACGACUCAAAUCCACCAAAGAGAGACGUAGAACAACGCCGUCUUCAAUAGUCUCCGAGGGGCACCAAAUCGUCUCGUGCCUAGUGAUGAAGUAUCUGAGAAACUCAAGGCACACGAUUAGUCUGCAAAAGCAUUGUCAUCAAUCACCAAAACACUUAAGGGAUAAAAAUGCCCUUACAAUCUCCCCCUUUUUGGUGGAUUGAUGACAAUACGGGAUUUGCACAUAGAUGAGAUAAUAUUGAGCAAAGGCAAAUCCCUCCUCUCUAAAAUAUAGACGGCCCCCCCUAGAUGUGUGCAAUCUAGAUGAAUGCUUUGGACUGCAUAGCACACAAACUAGGAUCAACACUCCCCCUAUAUUUUAGAGACCAAGGCAUGAUAAUUAACAUCUAAGUAGAGCAUAGCAUAAAGGUAGCACAAUAUAUCACAAGCUCGCUAGGAUAGAUAGAGUGCAUAAGUCUUACACCAUAAGAAGUAAAGUAACCCAAAGCAACUGAAACGAGGUUCAAAACGAGAAAGCAAGCAAACACAUUGAACACGAAUGACGAAACGAUGACGCAAAUCCCUACACUCUCUCCCCCUUUGGCAUCGAGAUGCCAAAAAGGCAAAGAGGACACCUACACACAAGGGGCGGCUCAAGCAGGGAACUCAUCCCAAGCCUCCUCCUCAGACUCCUCGGCGACAGGGAUGGUCUCCUUGACAUCCUCCUCAGAAUCAGUCCAUUUGUAUCCUUGCUUCUCCAUCCACUCGUCCUCUGGGGUGAUGCGAUCCUCAGAACCACCAGACACGUCCUCGCCAUACAGCUUCAAGAUCUUCUUGUCCCGGCGGCGACUCUCCUUAGAUGCCACGUGAGUCCUGUACUGCCCCUUGGCUUGCAUGCAGAAAAGAGUCUUCAUCUUGUCCUUCAGCUUCUUGGCCCAUGAAGGCAUAGAGGAGCUCUGGGACGACCUAGCAGCACGGUCCUCAGCAACAUCCUCGGCGCCAGCAUCCUCCUCAUCAACAGCAGCCCAAGCAGCAGACGCCUCAGCACGAGUGGUAGUGUUGGCCCAUUGGGGCUUGACACGCAGACAGAUGGGAUCAUGGCGAAUCCAGUCUGGGGCAAGGAACUCCUCACCAAGGAACAUCUUCUCCCACGUCUUCGAGAUCAGCAGAAACAGAUAGGGCUCAUAGAUAGGCACCUUGCGGUUGAACACGGCAAACCGAAGCUCACACCACAUGAUGUGUGAGACAUCAAGUGGCUGAGUCUGAGACAACCGAGCCUCCUCGCAAAUGAGCAUCAUAUCCACCAUAUAAGCAUGAACCUUGUCCUUGUCACCAAUGCGAGGAAACAAGGAGUUGCGGAAGAUGCGAUACAUGAUAUCCAGAAAAGAGUUAAGCACCAACCCCGUCUUGCCAUUGGCGAGUGCCUUCUCAACAUAGUAUGGUGCAAGCUUGUCGUUGUUGGCAGAUUCAGAGUUGGCAUGGGGGCGAACACCCACGGGAGUGUCGAGCCCGUCAUCAGGAACCUGGAGCAAAUCCAUGAACUCCUUCCAGGUAGCAGUCAGCUGACGGCCAUUGGUCAUCCAGGUCAUCCUCCGCUCCUCAUUAGAGUGAAAGUAUACUGAGGCAAAUAACUGACAGAUAAGCUCAGGGUCAUAGACAAGGUGAAAGGAUAUCACAUGCUCAAUGCCAAACUGCUCCACCAAGUCCAGAGCCUCUCCAAAGUAUGCACGAAACUUGUCCUUCCUCAUGUGAUGCAUUUCAAUCCAUUUCACAUCCACGUAGGUAUUCUGCUUGUUCUUGAUGACAUCCAGAUAAAUGAGAGUCUGUUGCUUGUUCCAAAACAGCUCACAACCUUUGACAGUGGCACGAGGGUGCACAUACGGGUGGAGUUGCCUGAUACAGACGUACUCAGAUUGGGGUAUCUCAUCCAUGCCCUUAGCGGGUUCCUUGUGCUUGCUAGCUGAUGUCUUGACAUUGCGCUUGGGGGCAGAAGAGCCCUCCGGUGCUUCACCUGGAUUGCGCAGACGCUUGGAGCACGUGUCACGACUGGGAUUGGAAUGGCGAGAGCCAUGACCCGAGACACAAACGCAAACACCAACGAAACGCAAUGAGGAUCAAUGCAAAGACCAUGGCAAAGCACAAGAAACACAUAGAAAGUACACAUGAAAAGUUGCCAUGAGAUAGAUGUGAAGUACGGUAGUACUGCCAGAACCUGCGGUACUAAAAUAUUAGUACCGCUCCAGGGCGCGGUAGUAUCGUGCGAGGCACGGUAGUAUCGUGAUUGGAGCCAUAGUAAAGUUUUAGUGCCGCAGUGAGUGUGGUAGUACCGCACCAGAGGGCGGUAGUACCGGAAGAGCGGUAGUACCGCGCCAGAUGGGCGGUAGUACCGCACUGCGUCAGAUCCAAACGACGGUUUGAAUCUAAAAAGAACCGCGAAACGCCGGCAGUGCUACGGUGAUCAAAUCUAGCAUAGGACAAAGUACAAGUAUAAUUCCUACGCACUACUACGCUCCUUCAUCCUACUCUUGCAACUAUUAAGCCGAGGAAUCUCAAGAACACACAAGUCUCCCCCAAAACCUAGAGACAACAAAUACAACAACAAGGAGAGGGAGUUGGGGAAAGACCUUGGUCCAUAGCAAGAGCACGUGGUAGGGAACGAUCCCACCGGUCGGAAUCACGGGAGGGCAGCCAGAGACGGAGAUCCGGCGACGAACGCCGGCUCCGUUCUUGAGCGAGGGAGAGAGAGAGACGAGAUUGGGAAUGGGCGAAUGGGUAUGGGGGAGUUAGAACUCCCCUGCCCGACCUUAUCCCCACGCGCCCGACCUGUCGCGGUAGUACCGCUGGUCAUUGUGGUAGUACCGCUUGGGCGGAAGUACCGCACCGAAGCGGUAGUACCGCUUUCCCAGGCGGCAGUAAAAAAUUACUGCCGCGUGGGGGCGGUAGUACCGUGCUCCCCUCAUGCGGUAGUACCAUAGCAUGCUGCAGUAGUACCGUGAGCUCAAGAAAAUGCAUGUUUCGUCACACGAAAAAAAGGUCUUUGCAAAGAACCUUUUAGCACAAAAGACACCACAUGAACACGAACAAAACAAAGGCAGAAAGGCAACAAGAAACAACCGCGCAACCCAACCUCUCAAAAGGAGAGGGCGGUGGCCGGAGCCACCUAUGUUUGAGUUAGUUGGUAUGGCACCGCGAAGAAUUAUCCUUGGGCCCAUGACCAAAACUCGUCUUUGAAGCACAAGUACCAUCAAAAAUGGCUAAUGUGAAAGAGUUGAUCUAUUUAUGCAUAAUGGGGGAGGGAAAGUUCAUUGAGAGAGCAACACUCCCCCUAUUUCCAUGCCUACACCUAAACUAGACAACAAGUUGAGUGUGGUGGUNNNNNNNNNNNNNNNNNNNNNNNNNNNNNNNNNNNNNNNNNNNNNNNNNNNNNNNNNNNNNNNNNNNNNNNGGGGGGGGGGUGCACGGGUUCAAGUCACAUUGCUCGAAUCAAUGAUAUUUAGCUCAUGCCUUAACUCGCGAAAUCUUGCUUCAUCCAAGGGCUUCGUGAAAAUAUCUGCAAGGUUAUCAUGAGUGUUGACAUACUUGAGCUCGAUCUCCCCUCGCCUAAUGUGAUUCCGGAUGAAAUGAUACCGAAUCUCAAUAUGCUUCGUCUUGAAGUGUUGCACCGGGUUGAGAGAAAUCUUGAUGGCACUUUCAUUGUCACACCAAAGAGGCACUUUGUCACAAAUGACACCGUAUUCCUUUAAAGUUUGCCUCAUCCAUAAUAGUUGUGCACAACAACUACCGGCCGCCACAUAUUCCGCUUCGGUGGAUGAGAGAGACACACAACUUUGCUUCUUGGAAGACCAACUCACCAAAGAGCACCCAAGAAAUUGGCACCCUUCGGAAGUGGACUUCCUAUCCACUUUGUCUCCCGCCCAAUCAGAAUCCGUAAAACCUUUAAGCUUGAAGUUUGCCCCUCUUGGGUACCAUAAGCCAAAGUUUGGGGUAUGAGCCAAAUAUCAAAAGAUUCGCUUGACCGCCACAUAGUGACUUUCCUUCGGUGCGGCUUGAAACCGUGCACACAUUCCCACACUCAACAUGAUAUCCGGUCUAGAUGCACAAAGGUAAAGCAAGGAGCCAAUCAUGGAGCGAUAUACCUUUUGAUCCACCGCUUUACCAUUGGGAUCAAUGUCAAGUUGGCAUUUGGUGGGCAUUGGUGUAGAAGCCGGCUUGACAUCACUUAGCUUGAAUCUCUUUAGCAUGUCUUGAGUGUAUUUGGCUUGGUUGAUGAAGGUUCCUUCUCUUAUUUGUUUGAUAUCAAAACCAAGGAAGAACUUCAACUCUCCCAUCGAAGACAUCUUGAAUUUGGAGGUCAUGAGAGCGGCAAAUUCCUCAUUGAAAGCUUUGUUAGGGGAACUAAAGAUAAUAUCAUCAACAUAUAGUUGGCAUACAAACAACUCCCCUUUGACCUUCUUAGUAAAAAGAGUGGGAUCGAUUUGUCCUACUUCAAAUCCACGAUCUUGUGACAACUCGGUAAGGUGGUCAUACCACGCACGUGGGGCUUGUUUAAGGCCAUAGAGUGCCUUAUCGAGUUGAUACACAUGAUCCCGGAAGUAGGGGUCCUCGAACCCGGGGGGUUGCUUGACAUAGACCAACUCAUUAAUGGGACCGUUAAUAAAAGCACUUUUCACAUCCAUUUGUUGCAACUUAAAGUUGUGAUGGGAAGCAUAAGCAAUCAACAAACGAAUGGAUUCAAGACGAGCAACAGGAGCAAAGGUUUCACCGUAGUCAAUACCCUCGACUUGGGAGUAGCCCUGUGCUGCCAAUCUUGCCUUGUUGCGAAUGAUGUUCCCAUGAGCAUCUUGCUUGUUCUUGAAGAUCCACUUGGUUCCAAUGACUUUGUGGUUCCCCGAUUUCCUUGGCACCAAUCUCCACACCUUGUUGUACUCGAAGUUGUUGAGUUCUUCAUGCAUGGCAUUGAGCCAAUCCGAGUCUUCGAGCGCCUCAUAGACCUUUUGGGGUUCAACACAAGAGACAAACACGUGAUGUUCACAAUAGUUUGCUAAUCAUCUGCGAGUGCUAACCCCCUUUCUUAGGCUUCCAACCACAUUCUCCAUGAGAUGGCCUUUGGUGGUGAGUUUGGAAGCAAUCUUCGCGGCACGACGCUCUAAUUCCUCCUCGGAUGUGGAAGGAGGAGGGUUAACUUGAUAAUCUUGAGCGCCGUCUUGAACUUGUUCUUGAUCUUGAGCUUUCUCAUGAUCUUGAACUUGCUCGGGGGGAAGAACUUGACCUUGGGCAUCAUUUAGAGGUUCACCACCAUCUUGAGGUUGAUCUUGCCCUUGGUCUUGUUCAUGAGGUUGAGGGCCUUCACUUUGUUCUUCGGAAGCGUGCGGGCCUUGUGGAGGUGAUGGCUCCACUUGAGAGGAGCAUUGUCCUUCUCCUUCGGCCACAAGGGGUUCCUCAACGGGUAGAAUAUGACCAAUACCCAUUCUUAUUAUGGCUUGGGGAGGAAUUUCAUCACCUACAUCACAAGUACCACUUUGCUCCACUUGGGAGCCGUUAUUUUCAUCAAACUCCACGUUACACUCUCCUCAAUGAGUCCGGUGGACUUGUUGAGAACACGGUAAGCAUGAGAGUUUGUAGCAUAACCAAGAAAUAUGCCCUCAUGAGCUCUAGCCUCGAAUUUAGACAAAUGAACACCUUUCUUAAGAAUGAAACACUUACAACCGAACACCCGGAAGUACUUGAGGUUGGGCUUGUUGCCGGUGAGUAUCUCAUAAGGAGUCUUGUUCAAGCCUUUGCAGAGAUAGAGCCGAUUGGAUGCAUGACAUGCGGUGUUGAUGGCUUCGGCCCAAAAGUUGUAUGGAGACUUGAACUCCGCCAUCAUGGUCCUUGCCGCAUCCAUCAACAUCCGGUUCUUCCUGUCUGCUACACCAUUUUGUUGAGGGGUAUAUGGUGCAGCAUAUUGAUGCUUGAUCCCCUCAUCACUAAGAAACUCAUCCAAGGUGUAGUUCUUGAACUCGGUGCCGUUGUCACUUCUUAUUGUCAAGAUCUUUGCAUUAUGUUGACGUUGAGCUUCAUUUGCAAAGUCGAUGAUGGUUUGUUGAGUCUCACUCUUCCUCUUGAAGAAGUAUACCCAAGUGUAUCUUGAAUAGUCAUCCACAAUCACCAAGCAAUACUUUCUACCUCCAAGACUAUCAAAAGAUGGAGACCCAAAGAGAUCCAUGUGAAGGAGCUCCAAGGGUCUCUUCGUGUAGAUGAUAGUAGUGGGAGGGUGAGCCGUCUAAUAUAGCUUUCCUUCGAUACAAGCACUGCAAGAACGUUCUUUGGCAAAACUAACAUUCGUUAGUCCACGGACAUGGUCCCCCUUGAGAAGACUUUGCAAAGAUCUCAUAUUGACGUGGGCUAAACGGCGAUGCCAAAGCCAUCCCACGUCAACUUUAGCCAUUAGGCAUGUCGCGGUCUUAGUGGGUCGCUCUGAAAAGUUAACCACAUAUAGACCGUUCUCGACAUGCCCAACAAUGGCUACUUUAAGAGUCUUGCUCCACAAGAGGGACACGGUAUCAAUGUCAAAGAAAGUAGCAAAACCCAUGAGUGCAAGUUGACGAACGGAAAGCAAAUUGUAUGCAAGGGACUCAACAAGCAUGACUUUCUCGAUCGUUAGAGCAUGAGAAAUGACAACCUUGCCGAGACCCAAUACCUUAGAAUGUGAUGCAUCACCCCACUCGACAUUGGUGGGCAUAUAUGGAAUCUUUUGCACGUCCACCACCAAGUCCUUGCUCCCGGUCAUAUGAUUUGUUGCUCCACUAUCGAGCAACCAUGAUCCCCCACCGGAAGCAAACACCUACAAGAGUUCAAUGCUUGGUUUUAGGUACCCAUUUAGUAAUGGGUCCUUUGAUGUUAGUAACAGGGGUCUCGGGAACCCAAAUAGACCACUCAAUGUACUCAUAAGGAGAACCAACAAAUUUAGCAUAAACAUGUCCAUCACUAGCACGGCACAACACAUAUGACGGGUUAAAGUCGCCAGCUUUGUUGGAGGAAAUGCUUUUGCCCUUUUGGACGUCAACUCCCUUCACUUUUUCCUUCUUCUCCUUAGGAGCACCCUCUCCCUCUUUCACAAAAGUUUGCUUGAGAGGAGGAGGACGUUUGGUCUUGUCGUUGUUCUUCUUCUUGCUCUUGGACUUGGGUGCAAACCCAAUUCCUUCCUUGGCCACAACUUCCUUUUGAUUGCUCAAAAGGUCGUUGAGGUUCUUCUCACCUUGAAUGCAUGUCACAAGGCCUUUCUCAAGUUGAUCCUUCAACUUGGCAUUCUCCUCCACAAGAUGCACAUGCUCACAACACGGGUUAGUAGCACAUGCAUUAUCAAUUAAUACCAUAUGAGGAAAGGUGGCCUUUUCCUUGGUUAGCUUAACUUGGAGUUGAGCAUGAGACUCCUUGAGGUUAGCGUGAACACCCUUCAAGACCUUGUGGGCCUUGUCAAGUAUCUCAAACUCCUCUUUGAGUCUAACAUGAUCAACCCCAAGUUUAGCCUUCUCAGAAGUUAGCACACGAGACACGACAAGAGCAUGAUCAAGAUCUUUCUUUAACUUAGCAUGGUCAUCAUUGUGUGACUCCUCAAAAGUCAAACGAUGCACACGCUCUUCCUCAAGAGCAUUAGAGAGAUCCGAUAUCUCAUCGGCAUAGUCGCGACUAUGACCUUUCAUCUUAGAGAUGGUUUCUUCGUGAGCCUCGAUCAUGUCAUUGGCCUCACCAAGUUGUUCCAAGAGAGAAACAAAAUGCUUCUUGGACUUGCCCUUGAGCUUACUCAUAAAAGACUCAAACUCAUUCACUUCUUCAUUAGACCCAUCAUGUUCAUCAAUGCAAACCUCCAUGGAGGGAUUAGUAAUGAUGGUGGUUUCAAUGUUGGGGGUUACCUUGUUUGAAGCUUUAGCCAUGAGGCACUUGGCGGUGAUGUUCUCGUUGGGUGAAUCAAAGAGAGACACCCGGGGAGUAGUAGCAAUGGCAACAGAUGCCAUGGCCAUCGCUUCUUCAUUUUCAUCAUCAUCAUCAUCCUCUUGGUAUUCUUCUUGAACCACCAACCCACGAGUGGGAGUCUUCUUGGCGAAGUUGUUCUUGUUGGGGAAGGACUUGGCUUUGUCUUUUCGGAUGAACUUGCCACCAUUGUCUUCCCGCUUCUCGUAAGGACAAUCCGCAACGAAAUGGCUCACAUUGCCAUAGUUGAAGCAAGUUCUAACUCGUUGAUUUCCCUUGACGCUACUUGAGUUGUUCUUGUUGAAGUUGGGUCUUGAAUUCUUCUUGCUCCAAAAUUGUCUGGAAGCAAGAGCCAUGUGCUCAUGAUAAUCAUAUUUCAUGUCUUCGGGGUUGCUCUCCUCAUCUUCCUCUUCUUCCUCUUCUUCCACACUAACCUUGGCCUUCAAGGCAAGGUUGGGCUUCUUUGCCCUUUGAGAACGGAGCACCGCAUUGUAGGCGGUCUCAUCCAAGAUGCUCAUUGCAACAAACUCAUCCAACAUUUCACUUGAGGUCAUGGAGUGGAAGUCCGGUCUUUGACGAAUGAUGGAGGACAUGGCCUUGUUGUAGGGCAUCAUGGCCUUGAGGAACUUGCGCUUGAUCCAAUUGUCAUCCGUGUCCUUGCUUCCAUGAUCUCGGAGUGAGACCGCGAGUUUGGUCACUCUUCGAAAGAGCUCACGAGGUUCUUCAUCUUCUUUCAUUGCAAACUCAUCGGCUUCAUCUUGCACCACUUCAUAGUUGGAGCGUUGAAUGCUAGCACUUCCUCGAUAGAGACACUCAACAAAUUUCCAUGCUUCUUUAGCCAUGGCAUGAGGUCGAAGAUGAGGGAGAUCUUCGGGAAGGAUUGCAUCUUGGAUGAUGAAGAGAGCACUCUCAUUGAAUUGAUUGUCCACGGCUUCUCAAGGGGUGAAGUUGGUUGGGUCAUGAGGAUAGAAACCUUCUUCAAUGAUUCUCCAAAGGUUAGCGUUCACAUGUUUUAAAUGACGCUUGAAGCGAUAAACCCAAGAAUCAAAAUCUUCAUGUUUCUCAUAUUUAGGAGGAGGACCGGCAUGAUUCAAAUGAGUGGAGGGGAUCGGCCCUCCAUAAAUUGGGGGUUCCACAUGGGCAAAGAUACCGGUGCCAUUUCUACCACUAGUAGAAGGACUCUUUUCACUGUUAGCUUCCCCCUUGUCGGAGGUAACAUCUGUCACCUCAGUAAACAUGCUUUUAACCUCGGCCGUCAUGGAGGUUUUCAAUGUGUCUAAAGCCACAUUGAAUUCCUCACAUGAGACCGAGGUUCCCCCUUCGGCCGAAGACGAGAUGGGAUUCACACUGGAGUGCUCCUUCGCACCGUCGUUGGUGUCAACCAUACUCUUCGGACGGCAAAGUCCUUAAUAAAGAGAAGAGGCUCUGAUACCAAUUGAAAUGAUCGAUAUGGUUGACUAGAGGGGGGGUGAAUAGGUAACUAACAAUUUUUUUAAGCUUUUCUUUAACAAUUUAAACCUUGCAACAAAAUAGGUUGUCUAGAUAUGCAACUACGUGGACAACCUAUAUGAUGCAAUGACAACUAGUACACAAGCAAGCAAUAGAUACAACACAAGUAAGCUUGCAAAAGUAAAGGCACGAAAUAACCAAGAGUGGAUCCGGUAAAGACAAGGAUUGUUACCGAAGUUCCUUCCUUUUAAAGGGAAGUACGUCUCCGUUAGAGCGGUGUGGAGGCACAAUGCUCCCCAAGAAGCCACUAGGGCCACCGUAAUCUCCUCACGCCCUCACACAAUGCGAGAUGCCCUGAUUCCACUAUUGGUGCCCUUGAAGGCGUAGACCGAACCUUUACAAACAAGGUUGGGGCAAUCUCCACAACAAUUGGAGGCUCCCAACAACACCACAAAGCUUCACCACAAUGGAGUAUGGCUUUGAGGUGACCUCAACCGUCUAGGGUGCUCAAACACCCAAGAGUAACAAGAUCCGCUAGGGAUAAGUGGGGGGAAUCAAAUCUCUCUUGGUGGAAGUGUAGAUCGGAGCCUUGUCACCCAAUCCCGAGCAAAUCAACAAGUUUGAUUGGCUAGGGAGAGAGAUCGGGCGAAAAUGGAGCUUGGAGCAACAAUCGAGCUUAGAGAUGGAAGAGGUGGUCAACUAGAGGUAGGAGACACCCCUUAUAUAGUCAUGGAAAAGAUCCAACCGUUAUCCACAUGUUCAGCCUGCAACAUGCGGUACUACAGCUCCAGGGGCGCGGUACUACCGCAAGGCCCCGCGGUACUACCGUGGAGGACCACGGUACUUCCGCGGCAGCAGCAGAGGCUGGGACUUGCCUAACUUAGGUGCAGUACUACCGCUUGCGCGGUACUACCGCUCCCCCUUGCGGUACUACUGCAAGGCAGGAAAUUCACUGCCUCCGAAGAGCGCGGAUGAAAUAAAUUACAUCCGUGCCUACUUUUGCUGAAAAUGAGAUGGUGCAAAAAUCCGACGCGGUACUACCGUGCACGAGGCGCGGUACUACCGUGAAGGCGCGGAUGUAAAAAAUUACAUCCGCUCCUACUACUGUGACGCCGCGGUACUAGGUAGGAGGGCCAUGGUACUAUGACUCCGGGGGAGCGGUACUGCCGUGGGCUCCCGCGGUACUACUGCGCUGGACGAGCGGUACUACCGUGGGGGCCCGGAUGUAAAAAAAUUACAUCCGCCCCUACUACCGUACCGGAGCGGCACUAGACCUGGGAGCCACGGUACUACCAUGACCCACAACGGUACUACCGCGGGUGCUUGCGGUACUACCGCUCCAUAGAGCAGUACUACCGCAAGUACAGCAGUAGCCGUCUUAUUAUGCACAACUAGGAUAACGGAAAGACGCUCCAAAGUGCAAGGAAAGGUAGGAUAUGUGUACGUGUUGAUUCCACCCAAACCUUUCCGACGCGGACCCCCUCUUAAUAGUACGGCUCUCCUAUGACUCAAAUCCACCAAAGAGAGACGUAGAACAACACCGUCUUCAAUAGUCUCCGAGGGGCACCAAAUCGUCUCGUGCCUAGUGAUGAAGUAUCUGAGAAACUCAAGGCACACGAUUAGUCUGCAAAAGCAUUGUCAUCAAUCACCAAAACACUUAAGGGAUAAAAAUUCCCUUACAAUCUCCCCCUUUUUGGUGGAUUGAUGAGAAUACGGGAUUUGCACAUAGAUGAGAUAAUAUUGAGCAAAGGCAAACCCCUCCUCUCUAAAAUAUAGAUGGGCUCCCCCUAGAUGUGUACAAUCUAGAUGAAUGCUUUGGACUGCAUAGCACACAAACUAGGAUCAAUACUCCCCCUAUAUUUUAGAGACCAAGGCAUGAUAAUUAACAUCUAAGUAGAGCAUAGCAUAAAGGUAGCACAAUAUAUCACAAGCUCGCUAGGAUAGAUAGAGUGCAUAAGUCUUACACCAUAAGAAGUAAAGUAACCCAAAGCAACUGAAACGAGGUUCAAAACGAGAAAGCAAGCAAACACAUCAAACACGAACGACGAAACGAUGACGCAAAUCCCUACACUCUCUCCCCCUUUGGCAUCGAGAUGCCAAAAAGGCAAAGAGGACACCUACACACAAGGGGUGGCUCAAGCAGGGAACUCAUCCCAAGCCUCCUCCUCAGACUCCUCGGCGACAGGGAUGGUCUCCUUGACGUCCUCCUCAGAAUCAGUCCAUUUGUAUCCUUGCUUCUCCAUCCACUCAUCCUCUGGGGUGAUGCGAUCCUCAGAACCACCAGACACGUCCUCGCCAUACAGCUUCAAGAUCUUCUUGUCCCGGCAGCGACUCUCCUUAGAUGCCACGUGAGUCCUGUACCGCCCCUUGGCUUGCAUGCAUAAAAGAGUCUUCAUCUUGUCCUUCAGCUUCUUGGCCCACGAAGGCAUAGAGGAGCUCUGGGACGACCUAGCAGCACGGUCCUCAGCAACAUCCUCGGCGCCAGCAUCCUCCUCAUCAACAACAGCCCUAGCAGCAGACGCCUCAGCACGAGUGGUAGUGUUGGACCAUUGGGGCUUGACACGCAGACAGAUGGGAUCAUGGCGAAUCCAGUCUGGGGCAAGGAACUCCUCACCAGGCAACAUCUUCUCCCACGUCUUCGAGAUCAGCAGAAACAGAUAGGGCUCAUAGAUAGGCACCUUGCAGUUGAACACGGCAAACCGAAGCUCACACCACAUGAUGUGUGAGACAUCAAGUGGCUGAGUCUGAGACAACCGAGCCUCCUCGCAAAUGAGCAUCAUAUCCACCAUAUAAGCAUGAACCUUGUCCUUGUCACCAAUGCGAGGGAACAAGGAGUUGCGGAAGAUGCGAUACAUGAUAUCCAGAAAAGAGUUAAGCACCAACCCCGUCUUGCCAUUGGCGAGUGCCUUCUCAACAUAGUAUGGUGCAAGCUUGUCCUUGUUGGCAGAUUCAGAGUUGGCAUGGGGGCGAACACCCACGGGAGUGUCGAGCCCGUCAUCAGGAACCUGGAGCAAAUCCAUGAACUCCUUCCAGGUAGCAGUCAGCUGACGGCCAUUGGUCAUCCAGGUCAUCCUCUGCUCCUCAUUCGAGUGAAAGUAUACUGAGGCAAAUAACUGACAGAUAAGCUCAGGGUCAUAGUCAAGGUGAAAGGAUAUCACAUGCUCAAUGCCAAACUGCUCCACCAAGUCCAGAGCCUCUCCAAAGUAUGCACGGAACUUGUCCUUCCUCAUGUGAUGCAUUUCAAUCCAUUUCACAUCCAUGUAGGUAUUCUGCUUGUUCUUGAUGACAUCCAGAUAAAUGAGAGUCUGUUGCUUGUUCCAAAACAGCUCACAACCUUUGACAGUGGCACGAGGGUGCACAUACGGGUGGAGUUGCCUGAUACAGACGUACUCAGAUUGGGGUAUCUCGUCCAUGCCCUUAGCAGGUUCCUUGUGCUUGCUAGCUGAUGUCUUGACAUUGUGCUUGGGGGCAGAAGAGCCCUCCGGUGCUUCACCUGGAUUGCGCAGACGCUUGGAGCCCGUGUCACGACUGGGAUUGGAAUGGCGAGAUCCACCACCUGAGACACGAACGCAAACACCAACGAAACGCAAAGAGGAUCAAUGCAAAGACCAUGGCAAAGCACAAGAAACACAUAGAAAGUAUACCUGAAAAGUUGCCAUGAGAUAGAUGUGAAGUACGGUAGUACUGCCAGAACCUGCGGUACUAAAAGUUGCCAUGAGAUAGAUGUGAAGUUCGGUAACGCAUCCUCGUCUCCACCAGCUCCACUUGUGGUUAUCUCUUCCCUUUACUUUGUGCAGGCUAUUAUUGUGUUGUAUCCUUUGCUUCCACUUGUUGUUGUUGUUGUUGUUGUUGUUGUUGUUGUUGUUGUUGUUGUUGUUAUUAGCAUCAUAUAGGUUGCUCACCUAUUUGCACAUGUAGACAACCUAUUUGUUGCUAAACCUAAUUUGUUAGGAAAAGCUAAAAGUUGGUAGUUGCCUAUUCGCCCCCUCUAGUCAACCAUAUCAGUCCUUUUUUAGAGGUGAGCUCAUAGGUAUGUUUGUUCCUCUAGAAAGCUGGGCUCUGACGGUUAUGGCAUGGAUGAAGAAGCUGUCCACCAUACUGAAGGUGAUUCGUGUUGAGAUACCGGUGUAGGAACCGGGGUUGUACCAUUUGUCGCCACCAAGGCCGCCGCGGACCAUGUUAGGGAUGUACCUGUAUCGAGUGUUCGUGCAUGUUGAAGAGGGGUCAAUCCAUCAAUCAAAGUCCUGUUGUCACCGGUGGUGCCAGGGUCCGUCGACGACGUCCAUUAUAGGAGCCAAUGUCAGACUUUCCCCGUGUUGCUCGGCACAAUGGAUGGCACAGGGCCUACUCCACCGUGCGGCGGGGGCCACUGCUUCUUUGCGAGAAGAGGCAGGGUUGGCUGCAUCGAUGUGCUCUAAUUUGAGGUAUCAACUGAAUCUUCUCAGAUACUAUUUAAAUUCGAGCUAUCAGUGUGAAGCACUGAUGUGCCAGUACAUUUGAUUGUGACUUGUUCUAUUUUUGUAUCUGAACUUCUUUUAGAAAGGGGUGUACGUCAACUUAAUGUGCUAGUAGAAAUUAUUGUGUUGUCUGUCUGUUUUGUUUGCACAACAUUCAAGAUAUUUCCUCGUCAUUGAUAAAGACGACAAACGAUUAUGUACAAGUCCAUUGGUUUCAACAUAGCCCUACCCGUAGCGAUCGACCGCUUCCUCCCUGAUUGUGUCGUCUGCGUGAAAUUUUUGUAUGCAAGUUCAGUGUGCUAUGAUGUUCUAUAUGAUUGUGUCAACUAUAUAAGUUUUUACGAGCAUCGACCGAUGGGUCUCUCUCUCUCACACACACACACAAACAAACACACACAUACACACUCACACACACAUGUGGGACCGUUGAAUUAUUUCUUCGCUCGUGACAGCUUUUAAUUAGGUUCCACUAUACUCUAACUUUUUUCUUAAGUUAUUAAUUGAGCUCGGUGACUUCAAAAACUUGUACAGAAGCCUUGUUUGGCCCUUUUCACGCAUCAUUGAAUGUGGGCUAAGUAGCCAUGUAAAGUUGUACUAUACUACAGAGGCCUUUUUCGUUGAACAUGAGCAAUGCAACUGGACCGACAAUUGUACACAAGAUCCUAAAAUAUGCGCAGCCUAGCUUAUGUUUAUUUUAACAAAAUGCACAACUCAGUUCAUUUUUUAUAUAAUAAGAUUACCAAGCCCAACAUAAUUUUUUAAUAAUAUUCCUAUCUCAAUAUUAUUUUUUAUAUGAAAUGCUCAGUCCAGACCAUCAUUGUUUUUUCACCCAUCCCAGAAAAUGGGUCCAUUUCUACUAAAAUCAAAUGCCUUGUAAAUUAUCAGAAAUGAUAAAUGGGUUGCAUGUACGCAAUAUUAUUUUUCACCCAGCCCAGUAAAUAGUUGUAUUUGAAUAAACAAUCAAAUGCGCUGUAAAUUAUUAUAAAUAGUAAAUCGUCUAUUAUUAUUUUUACCCAGCCCAGGAAAUAGAUUAGUUUUUGAGUCAAAGCCCGGGAAAUAGAUGUAUUGGCAAACAAAAUGAAAUGGGCCGGAAAACCUAAAUAAAUGGGCUGCAUUCCGCCACAACCUUUAAAGCUGACUUUAUUGGCCCACUAGACGAAGCUUGUGCAAGGUGAUGUCCAUUUAGUGAACAAAAGAUUUAAUGGUCUAAAAUAAAGUCAACAAAUUAUUCUGACAUCUUUAGUCAUUGGAUUCAAUCCAACGACGAUCCUGCUUCUUUAAUCUCUGAUCUAGUUGCUCUUGCUCGAGUCGCCAAAACCAUCGCCGGCUGGAGCACCUGCAUCUGCCUCCCGUGGCCGGCUGUGCUGCCGCGCAUGCGUCACCACCCCACAAAACUACCGACGGUGGCUAGGUCAUACAUGUACUCACCCACACCUUCCAUUAUUCUCCGGCGAAGGCAGCCUCACCCGGCAGCCGAACCAGUCCCUCGUGCUCCCCUCCGCCAGGGACUCCAGUGCCCCUUGUUCCAUGACUCCAGAUCAUUCCCAUCUUAGGCCUCAGCAUCGUCCACCGUUGUGGUCCACUCAACAAUGCAUGGUCAACAACGAGAGCCAACAUGGAGUACGUCGAGAGUCUAACAGCUGGGAACCACCAGCUACAUCUUCGCACGCAAGCUAGUGCCUCCUUAUUAUGCGGGAAUAAAUGAUUCCUCCCCCUGACAGGUUGGACCCACCAGCUACAAUCUUCGCACACAAGGAUGUUCAUUAUUAUUACGUGAAAAAACGUUCCCCCAUGACAGCCGGGACCCAUGAGCUAGAUCUUCGCGCAGAAGGAGUGCCUCCUUAUUACGCGCAAGAAAAAUUAUUUCUCCCCCUGCUAGCUUGGACCCACCUGAUUCGGAGGCUGACUUGUGGGCCUACUAAAUUGACAUGUACACAGGUCUUUGUUAACCUAGUCAAGAAAUGAUUCUAGCAGGAGUGACCGUUGGAUUUCCAACGGCCGCGCUACUUCUUCAAUCUCCGAUCUUCUUGCUCCAGCCGCCGAAACUAGCGCCGGCUGGACCGCCUGCUACUGCCUCCCGUGGCCGGCUGUGCUGCCAGUGCUGGCCAUGCCAUCCCUCUACUCACCCACACCUCCUGGUAUUCUCCGGCGACGGCAGCCUCACACCGCAGCCGAAGCAGCCAACCCUCGUACUUCCCUUCGGGGCAUCCACUACCGUGCCUUCCCCGGUUCCCUAUCAUUCCCUUCCUAGGCCUCGCCGUCGUGCACCACCUUGCUGCUCUCGGCGCGGCGUGGUCAGCAUCAUCAACGAAUGACAGCCAUCGGAAGAUGACUGUACACGGUGACGCUGAGAGCUGGACCCACCAGCUACAUCUUCAGACGCAAGGAAGUGCCUCCAUAUUACGCGCAAAAAGAUGAUUCCUCCCGCUGACAGCUAGGACCCACCAGUUAUAUCUUCGCAUGCAAAGAAGUCCUCCUUAUCCUCCCUGACUGCUGGGACCCACCCGGUCGAAGCGUACGCAACGUUGUUUGGCUGGUCGCCAACGUGUACGUACAUACUGGCCGAUCGGUGUCUUUGCAAUGAUGACCCGUGGCCGAGAAAGCAGCAACACAUGUAGUAGUAGAGCCCCCGAUGUAGCAGUUUAGGCAAUCCAGUCUAAACCGUGUACACGUACAUACAACCAGAUGCCAAAAAAUAUGGCCACGUACGUACAUACGGGCAGGGUCUCGAACGCCUACUCGUGCAUACAUACAACCAGGGCUCGUGUACAUGGAAAGGCAGGGGAUGGCAGCAAUGGCGUCCUGUUAAUCGGCAUCCAACUGGCUGGGUCGGAACGGAGAAACUAUGUUGUGUUCAUCGGGAAGCAACGUAGUGCGUCGUGUUCAUCGGGAACGAAUCGGCUUGGACGAAACAUCCGAAAUGAGGCCUGACAAACCGCAGAAUGGAGGAAACGGACUUGUGUUUGAGCUCCUAUAGUUGAAAUGGGGUGUUGUUGAUCGAUAUGGGUGUGGUACCGCAAAACGAGGAAACAGACUUGUGUUGGAGCGCCUACGGUCGAAAUGGGGUCCUAUUCAUCGGGAGGGAUGUGGCUUACCGCAAACCGAGACUCCACGGGCUACUGUUCAUCCACUGUCUAGUGCCUCACUCCAACGUCCACGCCUCCACGGGCUACUGUUUCAUCCACCGUCGACUUCCUCCAGCCUCCACUUGCUACUGUUCAUCCAUCGUCGACUUCCUCCAGCCUCCACCAGCCAUUGUUCAUUCACGGGCUACUGUUUAUUCAGCCUCCACUAGCUAUUGUUCAACCAGCCCUCCACGGGGUCCUGUUCAUCCACCCUCCACCGGCUACUAUUCAACCAGCCCUCCACGGGGUCAUGUUCAUCCACCACCAACCGGCUCGGGUGUGGCCGCCUCCUAGAUCGGCCGGGGUCCUGUUCAUCCAGUAGCAACGGCCUACCACCACCACAGGGUCCUGUUCAUCCAACCCCUACCGGGAACUGUUCAUCCAACCGAACAAUGGUCACUAUUCAUCAAGAGGCAGGUUCGAUCGGCUUGAGUUAGCAACACUAGCAAAGGAAUCACUCGGGUUCAGUUAACAACCAAGGGAUCGAUCGCUCAGGUUCAGUAACAUAACCAGUAUAAUCACUCGGGUUCAGUAACAUAGCUAGUGCAAUCGCUCGGGUUCAGUAAGCGAAUGCCUCACGUGCUCGGGUUCAGUUAGAUCCCAAUGCCUUACACACACGCACGUACGUGUACGAGAGAAACGUGCAAACCUUUGUGCAUCGCUCGGCCUCGACCACCCACCAUAACUGGGAACUCCCUGAUAUUUUCCUCGCCCUCGCUUUUACCAUGAUUUUUCCUAUCAUGGGUGGCCCAAAGAAUGUCAUACAGGUGUGUGCCCGGCCCGCCCAGGGCGAAAAUCCCAUUUUCUGUCAUGAUUUUUUGUCAUAGAAGUAGGAGCCCACCACAUCUAUGAUGAUACGUGCUUUUGUCGCAAUUAUCAUCAUAGAAGUGUCAUAAGCAUGACAGAAAAAAAA